GGGUAUAUUAAAUCAAAGACCUUAGCUGAGAAAGCAGUGCUGAGCUACAAUGACUUUGAUGAUAGUAAAUUAGAAGUGGUAACUCUUCCUUGUGGCUUAGUGGGAGGAGAAAGUCUUCUUUCAUAUUUGCCUUUAAGUGUGAGAGUAAUUCUGGCACAACUUACUGGGGACAUGUUUUCUUGCGAUGGCUUAAAACUUAAUGCAAGAAUUUAAUGGGAUCAGUUCUCUGGUGCACAUUGAUGAUGUUUNNNNNNNNNNNNNNNNNNNNCAAAGAAAUUGCAAUAUACUUCCAAGAAACUUACCCAGAAUACAAGAUACAUAAAGAGUAAGGGAUUCAACAUGGUUUUAGUACUCAUAAUUUAUGCAUGAAUAUUUAAAGUUUUCUUGGUUUUGUUGAAUUCAUUUCAGAUUGAUUGAAGGGCCUGAAGAAGGAAGCAAGAGUGAUUUCAGUAAGCUGAAGAAGAUGGGGUUUGAGUACAAGUAUGGCAUCAAGGAGAUACUAGAUGACAGUGUAGCAUGGGCAAAGAAGUUAAAUGGGAGCCCUUUUUCUCAAGUAGUUUAAUCCUGGCAAUUCAACAGUGCAAUGAUCCAGUAUCAUCAAAUUUGUCAUCAGAGAUGAAGUAAAAUGACCGUUUGAUUCAGAAGGUAACUUGAUUAUUCUAAACAUACAGUGUAUUUUCUAGCUAAACUUGAUUCAUUGAAUCUAAUGGUUUGUUAUUCAUAAGCAAACGUACCACAAUUGAAUCCAUACUACUUUAAAACAGGGAGGCUUUUUAGUUUUAACUUUAAUCUCAACUCUCAUAAUUGAGAUAAGAGAUCAUAGCUACAGAAACUUCUGUUACAGAUAUUACAAAGAAAUUUCAAGUAAACUAAAGCAACAAUAGAAAAACAUUUAGUAAUAACAAAACUAAGAAAAAGAAAUCUACAGUCUGCAGCUUAAGUGCUCCUUUAUUUUUGGAGAAGGAAUAUAAAGAGUCCACCUUCAACAUUCUAGCAACAUUCGUACUACUGCGUCCAUUGUUGGUCUUUUAGACCUAUCUUCCUCCACACAAGAAAUGCCAAUCUCAACCAUCUUUGCUGCUUGGCUCCUGCUGUAUACACCAUCCAAUCUUGGAUCCAACAUAUCCUCUAUCCAUGACUCUUCUCCACAUUGAAUUCUGUGUUUUGCUACCCUGACAAACCUAGUCAGCUCUGUUUCUAUCUCUUCAUCCUCCUCUACCACCCAAUUCGAGAGCCGAAUGCCCUUCACAAUCUCUAGAAUCAAAACUCCAUAACUGUACACAUCAACUUUUGCAGUGAUUGGAAGGUUAGAAACCCACUCUGGAGCCAUAUACCCUUUUGUUCCUCUCAUUUGAGAGAAAUGUGAACCGCGACUGCCUCUCUGCGAUAACUUUGAAAGCCCAAAAUCUGAAAUCUUUGGCUCAAAAUCAUUGUCUAGGAGUACAUUUUUCAGGCUUAACAUCACAGUGUAUAACCCACUCUAGACACUCAUGGUGAAGAUAGGCCAAACCUUUAGCUGUUCCCAUUGCAACUUUAAACCUUUCUUUCCAUGCAAGAAAACAUGGAGGGAACAACUGCUUGUCCAACGAUCCAUUUUCAAUGUACUCAGUGAUCAGCAGCCUAUGUUUAUUUUCAGAACAGUAUCCCCAUAUUCGUACUAGGAUCUUCCCGAUUGUGGUUACUUCUGUCCAGAACAUAUCCUCUCCAUGAUUAUAUCUCCCAGUUUCUUAACAGUAAAAAAUAAGGAUUUAAUACGAUUUGGAAUGCUUCGAUAUAUAUUCUUCUCCAUAUUGGAGGUUUAUAUAAAGAUACAAUUGUAGUGCUAAUUGGAAAAAUAUCUCCUACAUCUAUAUAAAAUAUUUAACCUACACAUACAAGGAAAGUAAAUAUUUACAAAUAUUCUACACUCCCCCUCAAGUUGGUGCAUAGAUAUCAAUCAUGCCUAACUUGCCAACCGAGUUGUCAAACACAUUCCUUGACACUCCUUUCGUAAGAACAUCUGCCAAUUGGUCUUCUGUAUAGACGAAAGGGAAACAGAUUAUUUUCAUGUCCAAGUUUUCCUUGAUAAAAUCACGAUCUACCUCCACAUGCUUGGUCUGGUCAUGUUGAACAUGAUUAUGAGCAAUUUCAAUUGCAGACGUGUUAUCACAACGCAAGUCCAUAGGUUGUUUGAGUUUAAAACCCAAUUCUUUCAACACAUUUCGAAUCCAUAACAUCUCACAAACUCCAUGUGCCAUACCUCGAAAUUCUGCUUCAGCAUUUGACCUGCCAACAACCUUCUGCUUCUUACCACGCCAAGUUACAAGGUUUCCUCCAACAAAUGUAAAAUACCCAGAUGUAGAUCGUCUGUCUGUCUUAUCACCAGCCCAAUCAGCAUCGGUGUAUCCUACAACUUCCAAUUCACAUUUCUUUUCGAACAACAAAUCUUUGCCAGGUGCCAUGUCAGGACCCACCCCGAAUUUCAUCCUGAAACUCGAAGUAAAUCCUGCGGGGACCACCUCCAAGGAAAAUUUAUGGAAAAUUCGGCAUAACUUUCCUUGAAAAUAGACAACCCUUCCUAAUAAUACCUGCAUACACUUCAAAAGAAUCCAUCUAUAACUCUGGAGCCUUCGUGCUCCUCAAAACACAUCUCCCCAUUUAUUUACUAAUUUUAAUAAUAAAAACUCACAACUAACAAUCACAGGUUCAGAGCAACUCUAUUAGAGGAGAAAUGAACUAAAAAUAUAUAAAUGAGCGGAAGCUAUGCUAUUGAUUAUGCCUCGUCUCCAUGUAUGACCGACCUUAACUAUGCAAUCCUACAAACUGGGCAUUUUUAAAACGAAUGGCCCAGGGGAAAACAUUUGAAAAUGUUAGAGUGAGUGGACAAAAGUAAAUUUAAAAGAAACGAGAAAUAAAUAUCUUUAUGCUUUCCCAAUUUAAUUUUCGAAGAAAAGCGAAUGCAUGCCUCAAACGAUAAAACUUUCAAUUCAGAAAAACAUCGAGCCUCUCAAGCUCUAUAAUAUAUAUGUAUGUAUUUACACACGUCCAUACUCCCUAUAUAAAUUUUAUGGAUUUAUAUGGGGCUACUACGCUCGCGUCUAACGCUCACGUCACGCCUUAAUACGGCGCUACACUACGCCAUUAAGGUGGACAGACGGGUGUAUAAAUAUGUGUCCAUACCCCCUAUAUGAAUUAAACACUCAUAUAGGGCUACUACGCUCACGUCACACCAUAAUGCGGCUAUAUGCUACGCCAUUAAGGUGAACAGACACAUAUGGCUACCUAGCAUUUAUAUACAUACGCUCCUCAUAAAUACAUAUUUAUAUUCACCGAAAAUCCCAUUUUCGGUAACUCUCCAAGAGAAAUAAAAUCGUCAAAAUUAAAAUGACGUCAAAUGCUCCAACAAAAUUAAUUGUUCAUCCAUGAACCAUAGCAUGCAUAUUAUUUAAAACAAAAGUCCACUCACAACUCUAGCAUAAGCCCGACAAAAUCCAAAUCGUCACUCAAGUGAGGUCUCCUCAAAUCCUGGCACAAAAACCAUGCUUAAGACCACACUUCAAUUUCAAAAUAAAUAAUACUUAAAUAUAUAACCCAAAACACUUCCGCCUAACCCACUACCCUUUCUAAGGUUAAGCUUAUCGGAUUCACGCCAAAAUCUAACCAUAGCCUUAUUUCAUUUAUUUCAACAUUCUAAAACAAUAAUAAGGAAAAUCUAACGGUCGGAUUCUACCCCAAGAACCGCCAAAUUGACCAAUUUUUGAAAAAAUCUCAAACCUAUCCAAAACUCCUUCAACAAUUCUAAAAUUCACAUCAAUAAGUCCCCUUAAUAUAACCAAUCUAAAACCAUUAAAAUCCCCUAAACAGCGGCGGCCGGAGGCCUAUUCCAGCGACCUCCAAUGCCUACCAAAUUUUAACAGCAGAUUCCUCUCAACCCCCUCUACAACUUUCCUAACUAGCACAAACACCAAUUCCAAGCCUAACUAGGUCAAUCGAACAAAAACAUCACAAGAAGCCCUAGAACUUCCACUCACCGGUUCUCCUCACCUGAAGCAAACUGGACCGAGUCCUCCUAGGGCAAGGCAACUGGGUUGAAGGCCUUCAAAACCAUGUAAGCCUUGCCCGGAUUGAUGGCCGGAGGAGGAAGUUUCAGCGACGGAGAGCUUUGGGCAGUCGGGACUUUCGAGCGGCAACUCUCCCUUACGGCGGUGCUAGGGGAGCUCUCACCGGUCUAGGAUGGGAGCUGGGUUGGAGGCCGACCGAUCGAGACUGGAGCAGCGGUCUCAGGUGGCCAGACGGCGGCGGACGAGUGGCUAGAAGUCUGGCGGGGAGAGGGCUCGGGGAAGAGGGAGAGAAGAGAAAGAGAGAGUGGGCUUUUCCCACUAAAAUGUGACCCGGCCACUCUUUAAUACCCACAGUUCAUAACAUAAAACACCCCAAUAAAAAAUACCCUAAUAAAAAUUACCUUUUACUAGCCAAAAUUUAACCAUUUUUACCGUCGUCACAUUUUCUCCUACGAAUAAUUCCUCCGAAAUAAUCGUCCCUCAAAACCCCUCUAGGGACCAAAUAAACUAUAAAUUCAUUGACGGAGUCGGUAAAAUUCUUAUUAAAACCAAACUAGUAAAUAAGGUAAAAAUUUACGGGUUGGGAUGUGACAUGCCAUCUUAAGAUACUUCAGAAUACGGUACACUACAUCCAUAUGCUCUUCACUGGGAUAAUGCAUAAAUUGACUACCCACACUCACAACAUAAACAUAAGCAAUAUCAGGUCUGGUAUGAGAAAGAUAAAUAAGUCUCCCUACUAGUCGUUGAUACCUUUCUUUAUCAGUCGGGACUUGAUCCGGAUAGAUGGCGAGGUUGUGGUUCAUCUCAAUUGGUGUCUCAACCGGUUUGCAAUCAAACAUUCCAGUCUUAGCUAACAAAUCAAGUACAUACUUACGUUGGGACAAAGAAAUCCCCUGCUUUGACCUUGCAACUUCAAUUCCAAGAAAGUACUUCAACUGUCCAAGAUCCUUCAUCUCAAACUCCUUUGAAAGAUACUUUUGUAGAGCCUCCAUCUCCUUUGAGUCAUCCCUUGUGACAAUCAUAUCAUCAACGUAUCCUGACUACGCUUGAUGAACAAAGUGUGAUCCGAGUUACUUUGUCUAUAACCAAACAUCUUCAUUGAUUUGGAGAAUCUUCUAAACCAAGCUCUAUGAGAUUGCUUCAAACCAUAUAAGGACUUCUUCAACUUACAAACCUUGUCGGCAUCGCACGGUCUACUUUUGACUCCUAGUGGCAUGUCCAUAUACACCUCUUCCUCUAAGUUUCCAUUGAGGAAAGUAUUCUUCACAUCAAACUGUCACAGAGGCCAAUCUUUAAUUGCUGCAAGUGAAAUCAAGAUUCGUACAGUGUUGAUCUUUGCUACAGGCGGAAACGUUUCUUCAUAAUCAAUGCCAUACCGCUGGGUGUAUCCCAUGGCAACCAACCGUGCUUUAUACCUGUCAAUACUCCCAUAUGCUUUCAACUUUACGGUGAUUACCCAACGACAUCCAACGGUCUUCUUCUCAGCUGGUUUAGGCACAAUAUCUCAAGUCAAGUUUUUUUGUAAUGCCUCUAGUUUUUCGUUCAUCGCUUGAGUCCAUUUGGGAUCCGCCAUUGCAUCCCGUACACUACUAGGAAUAGAAACACUGGAUAAUUGAUUAAUGACAAGGGCGUGUGACUCGGACAACCUAUGGUUAGACAUGUAAUUGGCUACAAGAUACUUAGCCUUGACUUUGAUAUCAGGUUCAUAUUGUUUCUUUGGAAUACCUUUUGUAACCCUCUGUGAUUUUCUAGACACAAUAUUAUCUACCUCAGAUAAUUGAUUUGAAUUUAAAAGUACCUGAGCAGGGACAUUCGCGGCGGAUUCUUCAAUUGAUGGUGUUGAGAAAGGGAAAACAUCUGACGAAGCACUUUCGGGAUAAUUUUUUGUCAAAUUUGUGGGAUCCGUGACUGUUGCCUUUUGAUGUGCAAAAGCCACACGUGUCAGCAAGGGAUUAGGGGCCGUGUCAGUACCACCAACUGAUGGUGUUCGCGUGUCAGCAAGGGGAAGACUAGCUCGGCUCGCCUAUGGUCCUUGUAUCAAUGUCUGGACGAACUUGGCUUGGUCGGCUCGGCUCAUCCUGGGUCGGCUUGCCAGCGUGUCCCACACUCAGCUCUGUGUCAUGCAACAUGGGCUUUGCAUCACGUAGUCCACCACUUGGUGAUGGUGAUGUGACUGAUGGCUGUUCACAUUCUGUCUCUUUCUUCGGAUUAUUCGUGGCUCCCCCGACUCCGAAUCUAGACUCCAACGCUUCUAAUUCUUCAAAUUCUUCAAACUCAAAUAAUUGUCAAGAAUUUCCUUCUCCUAUUCGCUCCCCUGAAGGGAAGACUCGGAGACUCCCAUUGAAUAGUAAGGUUCAAAUUCGCGAAAAGAAACGUCCAGGGAUACAUGAAUGGUGUCGGUGAGAGGAUCAUAACACUGAUAGGCUUUCUGGAACUCGACAUACCCAAGAAAAAUACACCGUUUGGCACGAGGAUCAAGUUUGCUUCUUUACGGCUUGGGAACAUGAACAUAUACAACGCAUCCGAAAACUUGGGGCUUCAAGUUAGGCAAUGAUGGUACGAAAAGAAGAUGUUGGAGCUGCUGUAGAGGACUUUGAAAUUCGAUCACCCAAGAGGGAGUACGAUUAAUGAGAUAGGCAACAAACUUCAAAGCUUCUCCCCAAUAUUCAAGAGGUACAUUCAUGCCAAAUAAGGAUGCGCGGACAACUUCAAGCAACUGACGAUUCUUCCGCUCUGCCAAUCCAUUAUGUUGAGGAGUAUAGGAAUUUGUAGUCUGAUGUCAAAUUCCAUGAGCUUGCAUAAAUUCUUGCAUAGGACCAUUAACAUACUCUCCGCCAUUAUCAGAUUGAAAAACUCGAAUAGCUUGUUGAUACUAUGUAGACACAAUCUUGUGAAAUUCUUUGAACAAGAAAUUUGAACAAGAAACAAACCUCGCUCUUCUUGUUCAAGAGAGACACCCAAGUCAUUUGAGUACAAUCAUCAAUAAAAGUCACAUAAUAUCGAGCUCUAGAAUGAGUAGGGAUCUUGGCAGGUCCCCAAACAUCAGAAUGAAUUUUCAUGAACGGAAUAAGACUUUUAUUAAGACUAGGGGAAUAUGAAAUCCGGUGGCUUUUAGCCAAUUCACAUACAUCACAACAAAAUUCUGAAUCACUAACAUUUGAAAAUAAAUGGGGUUGUAGUUUCUUAAGAUAACCAAAAGAUAGAUGUCCCAAUCGCUUGUGCCAUAACCAUAUUGUUGCCUUUGCAUUCUCUACUCCAUUGAUCUGAUUCACUUGUCCUAAUAAUUGUUGCUCUCGUUGUUCUGUCAGAUCCAGGUAGUAAAGUUUUUCCUUUCUAGUACCACAACUAAGAACCCGCCAAGUUAGAAUGUCCUGAAACAUACAAAACGAGGGAUAAAAAGUCACAAUACAUGAUAAUGCUUGAAUGAUUUGGCCAACUGAGAGAAGAUUGUAUGCUAAUGAUGGGACAACUAAAACAGAAUCAAGGGUUAAUGUGUUGGAGAAGACAAUAGAGCCUUCCUUCUCCGGUGACCAGAGUUGGAGUAUUAUCAGCAGUAGAGACAAUAUUUUGAGUGGAAGGUUUAAAUUUUUUCAAGAGACUAAGAUCAUUAACCAUGUGGUCUAACACCCCUGAAUCAAUAAUCCAAGAAUUAUUCCUAGAUACCUUACCGGUCAUACCUAUUUGUGCGACAUUGGUGGAUGGUUGCUCUUCAUCUGUAGUAGUUAAGGCAGCAUUUGCUUGAUUCUUUCGGGGUUUUCUUGUGAAAUCCCACCAAUCUGGGUAACCGAUGACUUCAUAUUCAUAGCAUCGUUGCUUGCUAUGACCCAAGUCUCCACAAACUGGACACUUGAUGUUUGCAUAGGGAUUCGAUUUUGCUGGGAAGCUACGUGGUAGAGCAUUAUUUGAGAAGCCUAGAGGAGGUCCUUGUUUGCGUUGGACAACCAUAACAGAAGACUCAGAGGCAUUUCCCUUAACUUGACGAUCAGAAUACACCUUUGAACAUAGGCAUAACUUUGCUCCAAGGUGAAUUUUGGGUCUUUGCGAAGGAUCUCACCACGGACUUGAUCAUACUUUGAAUCGAGCUCACUAAGGAACAUGUGAACUCGCUAAUAGGAAAAAUAUCUCCUACAUCUAUACAAAAUAUUUAACCUACACAUACAAGGAAAGUAAAUAUUUACAAAUAUUCUACAUUAACAGCUACAACUCUUUUGUCUUCUAAAAGACCCUUGUAUACAGCCCCAGAAGCUCCUCUUCCUAACUCUUCCUUAAAGUUUUCAGUUGCCUUCUUGAGCUCGAAAUAGAGGUACAUUCUGAAAUGACUUGAAAUCUGACGACGUGCAAGGCCGGAGCUACAAUAUCAUGUCUUCGGAUAAGAAACCAGCAACCUGAUACUAUGAACAGAAAUUCAACUACACCAACUGCAGAAGCAAAAGAAUACAAAUACACCAAUCUUACAAAGCGGAGUGAGCAUGCUUAAAUGGUCUUGCCACAGCUGCGAUUCCCACACCAUUCUCAUUUCGAACAACUACCCAUAUUCCUCCACAACCAGAAGAGCCAUUAAAAGCCCCAUCUAUAUCUAUAUUAAGUUUCAACCUCCCACUCGGCAGGCGCUCCCACUUCGUCUUCCCUCUCUUCAUCUUCACCUCAACUCGCUCCUGUACUCUUUUAUACUCACCUAAGAACUGAACAACCCAUUGAGAAACAAAAUAGGGAUUAAAAGGAGUAUGGUUCCAUAGUACCUGUAGUCGGGUGUACGUAAAACAACCUCCCAAGCCCGUAAACCAACAUGCAUUCCACCAUGACCAAGACAAUCGAGGCCGUCCUAAAGUUCCCGUCCACAAGCAGAAUGAGCCGGGCUCAACGGUGGCGACGAGGGGCUGGGAACAAUUGUAGAAGGCAUAAGAGAGAUCUAUAUUUGAAACAGUAGCAAAAACACUUGUCCCAUAUCGAUUUGCAAAUAGAAAUAACCCACGUUGGGCCAUAAAUACAACCCAGCCACAAGCUUUUCAGGUAUCAUUAAUUACGUUAGUAAUUACACUUCAGCUAUAAAUUCUGACUUAACCAUCGGAGGAGGAAAGACCGGAAGCCCCUGGUCAUCCUUUUAUUCACAGGUCAUCAGAAAGAAAAAUUAUCACCCAACGGAUACGCCUUCUGCUUCUGCAGCCCCGUCCGGGAUUGUAUAGAAACAUUAAAUUCAUAUCUCGGGCGAGUAUCACCGAGAUCAUUCCACCUAGUGAAAGAGUGAAAUUCGUAUCUCGAACGAGUAUCAUCGAGAGCAUUCCACCAAGUGAAAUUCAUAUCUUGGGUGAGUAUCACCGAUAUCGUUCCACCCAGGGUAAUUCAAAUAACUAGGGAGCCCAUGAGGACAUGUAUAUCUUCUCUUUAAAAACGGAGCAAGUGGCUUGAUAAACCACUGACGACGUUAACACCCCGUCACUCGAGUAGCAACACAGGUUAUGGUAAGAGCUCGCUACCCUUGUCCAUGGAAUGUAACACCCGUUCAACCCACGUCAUGAGUCCGAACAUGGGGGGACUACGGGCGGGAGCCCAUUGGAAAUAUACUGGUCUACGAGCUUAUUUUAACAAGUCCCCACUCAAGAUGUGUCUUGAAUGAGAACUUGGGGGGACUUAUAGUCGGUUGUACGUAAAACAACCUCCCAAACCCGUAAACUAGCAGACAUUCCACCAUGACCAAGAUAACCGAGGCCAUCCUAAAGUUCCCGUCCACAAGCAGGAUGGGCCGGGCUCAAACUUGGUGGCGACGAGGGGCUGGGAACAAUUGCAGAAGGCAUAGGAGAGAUCUAUAUUUGAAACAGCAGCAAAGACACUUGUCCCACAUCGAUGUGCAAAUAGAAAUAACCCACGCUGGGCCAUAAAUACGGCCUAGCCACCAGCUUGUUAGAUAUCAUUACUUACGUUAAUAAUUACACUUCAACUAUAAAUUCUGACUUAACCAUCGGAGGAGGAAAAACUGGAAGCCCCCGGUCAUCAUUUUAUUCAUAGGUCAUCAGGAAGAAAGAUUAUCACCCAACGGAUACGCCUUCGGCUUUUACAGCCCUGUCCGGGAUUGUACAAAAACAAUACCUUAUUUCGUUCUGUCCACACCGCCCACAAGCUAGAGAAGAAAAUAGCUUGUUGAUCGUUGUCCAAAGCAUCCAUAGAAAGCCAAACCCACUUGGUUAAGAACCCAGUAGAGAUUGAUGGGAUGACAUCCUUCAGAUAACCUAAGCGCCAACACUUUUUUUGUACAAUCUUUGAACAAAUGAGCACUUGUCUCUACAUCAACACCACACAGAAGACACUCAACCUCUUGAACUUGUACAUGCCUCUUCACUAACGCCACUCUUGUGGGGAUGAUUUCACGCAACAACUUCCAGGAGAAGACCUUGACUGUUGAGAUAUCAAUCCCACAUCGGGAAUAUGUGACCUAGCCUGUGGGUUUAUAAGGGUUUGGGCCAUUCUAUCCAUUGUCAAUUGGUUUUAAAUGUGAACCUAAGACUAAUUUAUCAUGGUAUCAGAGCGGGUUACCUACGUCUACGUGUGAAGCCCAAAGGCCACACGAACUCCACGUCACCCCAAAUAGUUGUCCACGUGUAUGGCUUGAAAAUUGGCUACACGUGCGGAGGCGUGUUGAGAUAUCAAUCCCUCAUCGGGAAUAUGAGACAUUGUCUGUGGGUUUAUAAGAGUUUGGGUCAUUCCAUCCAUUGUCAAUUGGUUUUGGACGUGAACCCAAGACUAUUUAUCAUUGACCUUAGCCGGCAUAUGAAGCUUCCAUAAAGAAUUCCAAUAAUUAGCUAACUUACCUCCCACUAAACUAGAAGAAGACGAAGCAACAGUUGGAGCGGUACUGAUCGAUAUCCAAGCCCAGUAGCCACUUUUGACAUUGUAACGACCACUUUUAUCAUAGUGCCAAACAAGACGAUCAACCAGAUUUCUCAAACUCAAUGGAAUCUUCAAAAUAGCUUCAACCUCAUGUUCAGAAAACAUCUCCUGCAGGAGAUGAAGAUGCCAGACUCGAUCAUCAGGGUCUAUUAAAUCUGCCACUCUCAGGUCUUCGAGACCCUCCAUAGGUACCGAGUAUGGUUUAAACCCAUAAGGGAUAGGGAUCCAUCUAUCAUACCAGACCGAGAUAUCAUUGCCAGUACCAACCUGAAAUCUCAUUCCCUUCUCUAAAACUCGUCUUCCUGCCAGAAUGCUCCUCCAUGUGUAUGAUGCCCCUGCCUUUAGCUCCGACUUCAUAAAUAUGAAUUUGGGAAGUACUUAGCUUUUUGGACCCUUGACAGUAGAGUAUCCGGGCAUUGCAUAAUACGCCAUCCUUGUUUCGCUAGGAGGGCUAAGUUGUACGUAAACAUGCAUUUCCUUAAAACUGAGCCCUCCUUCCUUCUUUGCUGCACACGUCUUUUCCCAUGAGAGCCAAUGGAUCUUGCUCUUAUCCUCUGAAUCACCCCACCAAAAGCUAGCCAUAAGUCUGUGCAUGUUAUCACACAAAUAUCUAGGAAGUUCAAAACAAUUCAUUACAUAGGUGGGAAUAGCUUGAGUAACUGCCUUGAUCAUAAUCUCCUUCCCUGCGGCACUAAGAAGUUCUCUCUCCAACCCUAAGUUCUCUGUUUAACUCUCUCGACCAAAUAUCCAAACGCUUCCUCCUUCGAAUAGCUGACUUCCACUGGCACCCCCAAAUAUUUAUCAGGUUUGUCAACUCUCCGAACCCCAAUCAAAUCCGCCAACCUCUCCUACUCUUCCAGGGAAACAUUUUUACUAAAAGAAAUGGCACUCUUCUAGAGGUUAAUUUGUUGUCCUGAAACCAUCUCAUAUGCCUUCAAAACCCCUUGCAAACUUACACAAUCCAUUGUCUCUGCUCGACAAAAAAUAAAAGAGUUGUCUGCAAAAAAUAAAUGGGAGAUACUCGGAGCACCUUUGCAUACCUCCAUACCCCUCAUUCAACCUCGUUCUUCUUCUCUACAAAUUAACCUUGAGAAUGCUUCUCCACAGAACAAAAAUAAAUAUGGCGACAACGCAUCUCCCUAACGGAGCCCCCUUCUCGAAUAAAGCAGCCCUCGAGGAGUACCAUUUAAUAAAAAGUAGUAUGAGGCUGUUGACACACACCUUAGAAUUUGACGCACCCACACAUCACAUAACCCUAGUCUCCUCAUUAUUUUCUCCAAAAACAACCAUUCCACCCUAUCAUACGCUUUGCUCAUGUCGAGUUUAAGCGCACAAAAACCCUUCUUACCACUUCUUCUCCUCUUCAUGCAAUGAACAAUUUCAAAAGCCAGGAUUGAGUUAUCAAAAAUUAACCUUCCUGGAACAAAAGCUCCUUGGAAAGGUGAGAUAAUCCUAUCCAUGAUCGGCUUCAGCCUAUUGGCAAGAACCUUGGACCCAAUUUUAUAAAGAACAUUGCAGAGGCUGAUAGGACGCAAUUGACUCAUGUAAUUUGGGACAGGAACCUUCGGAAUCAAAGUCACGUAAGUCCUAUAUAUAGAUGCCAUCUGAUCCUUUGAGGCUAGAAAACACUUCACUGCAACAAUUAUGUCAGCGCCAACUAUUCCCCAAAAGGUCUGAUAAAAGCAGAGAGAGAAGCCAUCAGGACCCGAUGAUUUUGAAGGUUGCAUUUGCUUUAGGGCACUGUAAAUCUCCUCCCCCUCUAUCUCUCUGGUCAAACUUGCAUUGAUCUCAUCAGAAAUAACACACUGGAUAGACUCCAUCAUCUGAUCAAAAUUUCGAGGCUUUGACGAUUUAAACAGUCCCUCAAAGUACUGCACCACGACCCUUUCUAGAAGUUGAUCAGUUUGACACCACCUCCCUUCCUCAUCAAACAACCCCGUUAUCGUGUUCACUCGCUUCCUAUCCAAGGCAGAUUGAUGAAAAAACUUUGUGUUUGCAUCGCCAUCCUUCAACCAGAACUUCUUUGCUCUCUGCUUCUAGAAAGUCAUCUCUUGUUGAAGUAGAGAGCUGAGAUGACCCUCCAAUUGUAAACGAAGUUCAGUGGUCUAAGAAUUCCCUACGUCAUAAAAAGAGGCUAAUUUUGACCGGGUUUCUUCUAUUUCACGUCUCAGACUCCCAAAUUUAGUUGAACUCCAUUUUUCUAGGGCACCCCUUGUUUUCCUUAUCUUAUCACAGACUCUCAGAAAGGAGUUUGAACCAGACCCACCUUCCCAAUUCUCAGCAACCAACUCUCUGCAUUCCUAAUCUUGUGCCUAACGAUCAUCAAAUCUGAAACCUCUACCUCUCUUCUUGUGUCGUGUUCUCACCUCCCUCACCUCUAAUAUAAUCGGAAGAUGGUCUGAUUCACUAGGGUUAAAAUGAAUAACUCUUGACGCAGGGAACAAAGUGCUUCAACUUUCAGACGAAACAAAUCUGUCCAAUCUAGUCUUGAUAACAUGACCUGCUCUGUUCCCCUGCCAAGUGAAACGGGGACCUGAAAACUUUAACUCACCUAACUGGCAGAACUCUAGCGCACUUAUUAAGCAUUCAAUUUGUCUCAAUUUACGCAAAACUCCUCCCUCCUUAUCCUCCCUCGAAGUAACUUCGUUAAAAUCACCCCCCACCACCCAAGGCAUAUUCCCAUGCAAACUAAGAGACAUAGAAGCGACCACGACAAAUACAUGUUCUUUACUUUCGGCUGACCGUAAAGCCCAGUAAAUCUCCAUCUCAAAGAAUCAGAAGCUGCACCAAUAACUACAUCUAUAUGACUCUCCGAGAAAGACUGCAACUCCACCUCCAACUCAUCACUCCAUAAAAGACACAAACCACAUGCUCUUCUUAUUCCCUUAUCAUGCUUCAUUGGGACAAAUUUACAAUCAACUGCAAUACUCCGCUUAAAACCUAACUGUCUCUGAAUUCUCACCAUCUCUCCCUCCGUACAUCUAGUUUCACUGAGAAAAACUAGUUUGAGAACAUUUAGGGAUAGAAUCCCCUUGAGCCCUUGAACUGUCCAAGGAUUCCCAAUUCCUUGGCAGUUCCAACAUAAAAUAUUCAUUGUGCGUGAUGGGUCGAAACCGGACCCAUCACGGACGAACGGUUUGGAGCACGUUCGGGGCUCAAAGAACUUGCCUUCUCUUGACACUCUGCUUGUUUCCUGCUUCUUCUUGCUCGAAACCCUAGCAUAAAGCCUUUUUUGGAACUACUCUUCUUAUUCUUCUCUGAAUUCCCAGCAGGCCUAGGAGAAACAGGGGUCAAACCGGCCUCCGUGUGACCCCUCUGUGACCGAAGAGACAAAGUCGGCCCAGUACUACAUUCUUGGAUCUCCCCCAACCCAAUGGCCCCACUAUCCACCUCCAAACCAGCCUCACUCUCAAGCCCACCAACUUGGCCCAACAAAGAAUCCGUGGACUCUUCCAAAACUAGGGCAUUCAAAACUUUCCCUCCACCCGCUCCCUGAAAUCCCUCCUCACUAUUAAUCAAAACUUCCUUACUCACGAUAUCCUCCUUGAUCACCUCAGCAAUCAAAAUCGAAUCCACCUCUCCUACUCCACUCAACUUUCCUGUCAUCAAACCUGCUCCCAUCUCUGAUUUUUUUUCCAUAAUCUGCUCCCAUCUCUGAUUUUUUUUCAUAAUCCAUCAAAGCUACUUCCUCAUUUGUCACCGGGUUAAAAGAGAUAUGCCGAAGAUUAUUAUUGACAUUUGAUAAUUGCAGCACUGAAUCGUGGGUCAAACGCCGCUGCUUCAUAGCCACAUUCACGCCUUCGCCCCCCGGAUCGACCUCCAUUGCGUCUCCCUCCAGCACAGACUGAGCAUCCUCCUCCCACUCAUGCCUCGUUCUAACCACCCCUGACAAAGUCAAUUCAGGCGCUUGCAUUUUCCACCCUUUCUUCGGAGACUCAUACAACCCAUAACGGCACCAUAACCACCCAGAAUCCGGAGGACUCUCCUCUUUUGCAACUUCCCAGAAAGCCAUAAAUCAUGUUUCUCAGCACAUAAGAACUUAUCAUACUGACUAUCAGAGAUUAUUCCCCUCUGAUGUUCAGCACAAUGACUGGAGCCAUGCGAAAGUAAACCACAAAACUAACAGAACGCCGGCAGUCGAACAUAAUCGAUUUCAAAAUGAGAGGGCCUUACCUUCCUCAGGAGGCGAACUAUCACCAUCCUCCUAAGUGGUUUAGAGGUAUCAACUAGGACCCAAGAACCCAAGAACAAACCAUAUCCAUAUUCAUCCCCUCCCAUCCUAGCAAAUCGACCAAUAGCAUCUCCAAUUCUUCGUCCCGUCUCCUCCACCAUAUCCAAAGGCGGCACCCCCCAUGCUCGGAUCCAGAAAAAUUGUCAACGAAGCGAAACCCGUAACAAGUCUUCUCUCCCAUCUGUUGCAGUCACCGCAAACAAAGCUUUCUUAAAAUGCCACGGACACCCCCGCAACACCCUGUUUCGAUCAUACUCUCUCGAGAACGAGAAUACCACACUGUCGCUACCUUCUAAUGUAAAACCAUGCACUUGUGAACUUCCACUAGGGUUUUUCUUCGGAGUCCACAACGCGUUCAUUGUCGACAUCAACACUUCCUUUUUGUAUGACUUAGUUGUAAGAAGCCUACCUACCAACAAGAACCUCUUCAGCUUCCACUUGUCAAUCUCAUCCGGCAUCACCACCUCCUCUGUUAACGAAAGUCGCUGCAUCAAUUGACCCAACUCAUCUUCCAUCUUGCAUAGACCAGCUAUUGCUUGAUUCCACCAGGCACCACACCGUGCCACCAAAGAUAACAUAUGUCGAGAACGAUCUCGUCGUAAACAAUGGAACGAACUGUAAUUUUGUCCCGAUGUAAAUCUCGGCAGCAAAAACCCCAGCUCUGUUUUCGCUCAAGAAAGAGAGAGAAAGAGAAAGGACUAGUCCGGUAAUAUUCUUCUUUGAAAAAGGUUUGUAUAUUUAGCAUUUAAGAGUAUGUGAAUAACAUUUCUCAUAUAUAUAUAUAUAUAUAUAUAUAUAUAUAUAUAUAUCUAAAAAAAUAAGAAUCAAACUAAUUAUUAACCAUAAUUAUCAAUUAACAAUUAAUAGAGUAAUGGACUACUUUAAUGGAUUAAAAGUCCCACCAUGGCACCAUCCUCUCAGACCCAAUUACAUCCUUAAGCCCAAACAUUAGGGCCAAUAUAUCAAAUAUGUUUUAUGACGUCUAGAAAUUAAAGAGAACAUGGACACAUCUCCCACCCUCUUCCCUUUCGUCUCUCUUAUAUGUUUCCUCCCUCAUAGUCUCGUACUUCAAAGUUCGACCAAGAAAAAAGACUCAUACAGUCUUACUUUAAAGAUUUCAAAGACGCUGACAAAGUGACAAUCCACGAAGACAUUCAGGGUUUCAGAUAAGAGAAUUUCAUCGCUCACUCCCGUUGUUUCUUUGCCAAUUUGAUUUCAACAAAAAUUAAACCCUGCAUGUCUUCAUCCUACGCUCUUCUCCUCCCUUAAAUCCAGUGGCGAAUCUAGGAAUGAAAUGUGGUCUAGGCUAAAUUCCUCUCUUGUAUGUAAAUUUUUUUAGCCAAUAAUGUUUCGAAACAAAAUCAUAGAAAUAAUAUUGUAUUGAGAAAUUUUAUUCACACACUCUUAGGGGGGUGUAUUGUAUAUGGAAUUAGUGGAAGUUUUAAAGAAGUCUAUGGAAUUUGAAAGUCUAGGUGUAUUCAAUACAGAUUUUUAAAAGUCCAUCAAAGUCUGGGUGUAUUCAACUAGAUUUUAAAAAAUCAUUAUGAAUUCCACCAAAAUUCAGGGGUAUUCAAUUAAGACUUUUUGAAAUGAAUAGAAGUUUAGAUGUAUUCAAAAUAUCAUUCAUACUUAUGGAAUUAAUAACUCAUGGAUAAUUGUGGACUUUGUAGUGUAAAUUACACACACCAAACUCCAAUAUUUUUCCAUCCACUAGAGCAAAGAUUUGGAAAAGUCUAUGACAGACUUUCUCUUUACAUGUGAAUAUGUUGAUCCUACAAUACAUCAUCUUUUUUUAUAUUUUAUUUUAUAAUAUUUUGUGCUAUCAAUGUUCUAUUCUACCUAUUCUUUUCAAUGUUUUUUGAAUGUUAAUAUUUUGUUGUAUUUCAAUUGUAAUGCUUGGAAUCCUCGAUAACCUAAAAUAUUAUCUACUAACUAUUGAUAUUAGAACUACAUGAUCAUUUAUUAUUAUAUUAGCGUACAUGAAUUAAACUUGUGAACAUCUAAUGUCCCACUUUAUAAUAUGUGUUUUUGGUUUACGUACUAUGCGUGUUGUUAAGUUAAUAUAAUUUUUUUUGUUACCUAUGUUUAUGUAUUUCAAUCAAAUAUUAUAAAUGUAUGCAUCGAAAUUAGAUAGAUGAACACUCAACUUAUAAUCGGUGUCAUUAUGUGUUUGUCAUUGCAUCUUUAUUUUUUGUUCAUUUCCUGUAACUCUGUAAGUAUUAAGAAAUCUACAUAAGUCAUUCAUAUGAAAUCUGUAGAUUUCAGAAAUCAGUGAAAGUCUAUAAUUAAAAAAUCUAUGGUUUUAAGAAAUCAAUGAAAGUCUAUGAACUUUUUAAAGAGUCUGUAGACUUUUUCAAAAAAGUCAAUUGAUUAAAAAUAACUCUGUAUGAAUCCAAAUGCAAUACACCCCCCUUAAAUACUAAAUACACAUACCUUUUUUUAUAUGUCUAACAUCAAAAAGUUUAAGUAUACUAAAUUACCAAAAGAUGUCUAUAUUAAUUAGAAAAUAUUAUUGAAAACUUGAAAUACACUACAUCUCGCUAUAAUGUUUUCUUCUCUCUACAUGAAUGAAGUUUCUAAUGAAACUUGUAUUGAGAAGAAGCUAAAGUUCUUAUUUACUGUAUUCGAUAUACAUUGGUAUUUAUACAUACAAAACCCUUGUAGGGUUUGCUAACCCUUAUUGUACUAGGUAAGUAACUAAUUACAAUCAAUCUAGGAUUCUAUCAUUAAAGAUAGUAUCAACUAACUGAGGCUAUGCGAUAUAAUCAGAUCAUUUGCUUUAAUACUCCCCCUCAAGUUGGAAUGGAUGUUGAUGACACCCAACUUGCCAAGUAAUGAUCCAAACUGCACAGAUUCAAGUGGUUUAGUAAAGAGGUCUGCUGGCUGUUCUUUAGUUCAAACGUGCAUAGGUUUAAUCAUACCUCUUUGAAUCUUCUCUCUAACAACAUGGCAAUCAAUCUCGAUAUGUUUUGUACACUCAUGGAAUAUCGAAUUCGUAGCUAUAUGGAGAGCUGCUUGAUUGUCACAGUAUAGCUUAAUAGCUAGGCUGCAGUUGCUUGACACACAAGUCAUUAAGUAAUCUUCUAAGCCAUGUGACUUCACAACUCAUUGUAGCCAUGGAACGAUACCCAGCUUCAACACUGGAUCGAGACACUGUAGUUUGCUUCUUAGUUUUCCAAGACACUGGUGCAUUGCCUAACAUAACACAAUAACCUGUGAUAGAUCUUCUUAUGUCCUUGCAAUGUGCCCAAUCUGCAUCACAAUAAGCUGUUAGUUCGAUGUUCCCUGUAGAUGACAGAAAAAUGCCAUGUCCUGCUGUCCUCUUUAUGUAUCGUAACACCUGAUGAGCAGCAACUAAAUGUGGUUCACGUGGUUUAUUCAUGAACUGACUCAAGAUAUGUACUGCAUAUACUAGAUCCGGCCUUGUGAUUGUCAAGUAAAUCAACCUUCUAACAAGUCGUCUAUACUGUGAAGGAUCUGUGAGCAAUUCACCGUCACCUUGAGUCAAAGACAGGUUCUAAUCGACAGGAAAUAGUGAGGGUUUUGCAGCCAGGAAGCCUGUGUCUUCUAGUAUUUCAAGAGCAUACUUCCUUUGACAGAUUGCAAUCCCACUCUUUGAACGUGCCACUUCUAUUCUUAGAAGGUAUUUGAGUUGUCCAAGAUCCUUAAGCUUGAAUUGGUUGGAAAGGAAUGUUUUGGUGGCAGUGAUAUCGUCGAGACUAUUUCCUGCUAGAAUUACGUCAUCCACAUAUACAAGUAAGGCAGUAAACUUACUUCUAUGAGCUCGAACAAAUAAUGAGUAAUCUGACCAUGACUGAUGAAAACCAGCUGCUUUGAGUGCCAUUGACAACUUGAUGAACCAUUGUCUACUAGCCUGCUUCAAACCGUACAGACUUUUAUGCAGUAUACAAACUCUAGUCUCCCCCUUUCCACCGAAUCCAGGUGGAAGUUUCAUGUACACUUCUUCAUGCAAAUCACCAUUGAGAAAGGCAUUGUUCACAUCAAGUUGGUGGAGAUGCCAUCCUUUGAUCGAGGCAAGACUAAGAAGGACACGAACUGUUGUAAGUUUAGCAACAGGGGCAAACGUCUCUCUGUAAUCCACACCCUCAAUCUGACUAGAGCCUUUUGCAACAAGUCUUGCCUUGUACCUCUUAACACUGCCAUCCGGCUUAAGCUUGACCUUGUAGACCCAUUUGUAGCCUAUAGGUCUCUUGUGUGGAGGCAAAGGAACCAAGCUCCAUGUGUCAUUGCUUUGAAGGGCAUCAACUUCAGCACGCAUGGCUGCUUGCCAUUCCAGAAUUCGAACGGCCUGUGAGAAUGAAGCAGGUUCUUUGUGUGUGGAAAGGUUAGCUUCAAAGACUCUAUGUGAAGGUGAAAGACGAUGAUAAGAGAUGACAUUAGCAAGAGAGUGAGGAGUACUUGACGGCGGUGAAGACGACGGGAGAGACCGAGAGGGUAGUGCUGCAUCAACAUGGAAAUCUCGCAAGAAUGUGGGCACUUGAGUUGGUCAAGAUGACCAACGAGGCUGAGGAGCAGGAUGGGAGGGUGGUGGACUAGGGUUUGGAAUAAUGUCCAGGGUUUGUGCUUCUGGUUGUGUAUUGGACAUAGUAGGGUGCACAAGUGUGGGUGUAGGCAGCGGAAGAUUAGAAUGUGGAGAUGGUAUUGUACCCGGCGCACAAGAAAAAGAAGAUAGGUUGUCUAGGAGAGAUAGCAUGACAGGCUGGCCUGGGUUGAGAGCAACCUUGGAGCCGCACGGGUCAAGUUCCGCUGCAUAUAGAGUCGGCCGGUGACAGUUCUUCCCCACACUCUCAAGGUCGCACCAACGAAAGCUACUAGCACAUGAGUCUCACAUCUCAUGACUUACCGAUCGCUUCCCUGUGUCAUGGUACUCCCUUAGACACUCGCCCAACCGAUAGGCUUUCUUGUCAACCAGGCUUAUGCCAACCCCUUGCUGACCACGUGCACCUUACACCUUGUAGCAAGCGGCAUAACAGUACACCAGGGCCUAGUUGGCCAACACCUUCACUCCUCGGGUCAUCCUUCUUAGGAGCUUGCGCCCCUUCCUCGCCCCAAGGCUUGUCAGGGAGGUGAGCCAUACUAUGGCUCACCUCCUCCAUCUUGCCAACCGUAUCCGUCAUGCUUGCCAACAUGUUGCUAGGGUAGGCAACUAUAUUCUCAAUGCCCACCUUUGGCUUCCAUCCGACUAGCAUGGUGUCGCCCUUCCGUGCUUGCUGGCAACUCUUCUCUUGGGCAAAGGCCGAACCUAAACCUAUGCCCGCGUCGCUAGCUCCGUGGCCAAUGAGCACCACGAGGUCUCGACAUAUAUUCAUUUAGCCCACACGUCCGCCCAUGCCGAUGGCAUAAGGACCGCUCACAUAUGAACCUCGCCACCGACACGACACCGUAAUAUCGACCUGCCGGCCGAUACUGUCCAUGAGACGUCCUGACUCAUGGAGACGCAUGCCGCCCCUUUCUGACGACAUCCGCCCGGUUCCUGGGUCCGCAAGGUCCCCAGGAAAGACUCGCUUAAUGCCCCUUGAAGGCCAGCACCGAGGGUGGUAGAGAGUCUGACACCAGAUACCCCUCUAAAAAGCAUAACGGGCAAAUCCUCAUUUGGCUGGAGGAAACAUGGAAAAGCCGAGGAGGACAACCUCUCAUAACUAAUUCAUGCGACCUCAUGGAAAUAUAUCGUCAAGUGUGUUGAACUCCUUUCGACGAUCCGGACAACUUCCUUGUUCAGGUUUUUCCCAAAUUCCCAACCGAAGUGCCUCGAACCAUAAGUUUCACUUAAUUACGAUAUUACCACUCAACCCCCAGUUAGCCCUCAUGCAUACCAUCGACAUACCCCUCUGGGCCAUCAUCUCCCACGGAGUGUCACGGUAGCAUAACCCCUUUAUGCGGACCGUGACACCCUCCCCCAUUUAACUUGUCGAUGCUCGAUCUUCAUUGACUCGAGACUGCACUUUCCUUUAGUGCAGCUUUGUGACAUCACCACCACGGGAGCUUGGACAUCGCCCCUAUGGAGUGUCACGAUGGCACCACCUCCUGUGCAAAUCGUGACACCCAUCACCAUGAACAUCUUGGACAUCACUCCUUGUGGAGUGUCAUAAUGGCACCUCCUUCUAUGCAGAUCGUGACAAGGAGUAACCCAAGUUGGAUAAUCAUCGAAAACCCUAAACAUGUGUUUAGUAGAAACCCUAGCCGAAGGAGGAUACUAUGUUUGAUCGGGAUUUGUAGGCGGAGAAGGAGACUGUAUUUCGAAAGGGAAGACUGUUUCUGGAAUGUGACGUCGCGUGAGAUGAAAACAUGCUCUGUCUUUAAAUCAUAAACCCAAUAUCCUUUUUUCCCAUGCGGAUAGCUAAGGAAAAUGCACUUGGUUGCUCUAGGAUCAAAUUUGGUGGGUUUGUGAGGAUGUCACACAAACAACCAAACACUUUGAGAUGAGUGUAGUUAGGAGGUUUGUUGAACAAUUUCUCGAAGGGGCUGUGUCCAGAGAGUUGAGGUGUUGGUGUGCGGUUUAUGAGAUAAGCAGAAGUGAGAAUGGCAUCACCCCAAAAGGAUUUUCGUAAACUUGCUUGGAAAAGAAGUGCAUAAGCUACAUUGAGUAGAUGGCAAUCCUUACGUUCAACAACACCAUUUUUUGUGGUGUGUUGACGUAACUCGUUUGAUGCACAAUACCUUUUGAAAAGUAAAAACCAUCCAUUUUGAACUCUAAACCGUUAUCACUACGAACUAUUUUGACAUUCUUUUCAAAUUGAGUUUCAGCAAGUUGAAUGAAAUCAACAAGAAGUUUUCUAGCUUCAGAUUUUUGCACCAUUAAGUAAACCCAAGUACACCUAGUGAAAUCAUCGACAAUGGUAAGAAAAUAUUUAGCUCCAGAAAUUGAAGGCUCAUGGUAUCCUCCCCAAAUGUCAACAUGGAUUAAAGAAAACGGUGACACACUCGAAAUUGUACUUAACGGAAAAGAACUUCUUGUUUGUUUGGCUAAAGGACAAACUGGACACUAGCUUGCAUCGCAAGACUUAUUUGACAUGAAAGGAAAUAAAGAAAAGACUUGUCUCGAAGGAUGACCUAGACGUUGAUGCCAGAGAUUACUUGAUGAACUGUUGACGGCAUGCAUGUUCCUUGCUUGGUUUUGUUGAGACAGUAUAGUCCUUUCCUCUCAUGGCCUAUCCCAAUCGUCUUCCCCGAUCGUAGGUCUUGUAUGAAACAAACUUGUUUGAGAAAUAUUGUGAUACAAAAAGAAUCAUGGGCAAGUUUGCUAACAGAUAUAUGAUUAAGGUAAAACAUUGGGACACAUAGAACGUUUUGUAGUUUGAACUGAGGAGAGAAAACCAUUGUGCCUAUGUGAGUUACCCUAGCAUGACUACCAUCAAGAAGUUUGACAAAACGUUUUUGGGUAGGAACUACAUGGGUGAGCAAGUGAGGAUGACAAACCAUAUGAUCAGUGGCACCACUAUCCAAUAUCCAUACACUGGUCUUUGUAUCAUUACGGAAGCCAAAAGCUUUAUCUGAGAGUUCCUCAUAAGAUGAGUUAUUACCAGCUUGAUUUGCCAAUACAGUGCCGUUUUUGUUAAGGAGCUCAAAGAGUUCAUUGCACUCUGCCUUCGAGAAAAGGAAGCUCCUUGAGCCGCCUUCCUUGUCAAACAGUGAGGACACAUUGUUUCCUCUAGCAUGUGCUUGUAUGCCUUCCAAAGCUGCCUUUCUCUUUCUACAAUCUUCAAUCACAUGACCUUUGAAGCCACAGAAAGUGCACUUAAGGUGUGCUUUGCAAUUCUUAGUAGAGUGAGUAUCUUUGUUGCAUUUGACACACUUCCUCCUUCCUUCAAAAUUCUCUUCAUGUGCCGCAUUGCGCACUGCAUAGGCCGCGCCCUCAGGCUGUGCAGGGGCUCCUUUGCUGCCGGUCAUGGCUUCUACUUGUUUUUCAUGACGGAGUGCCAUGGCAAAAACCUUGUUCACUGUUGGUAGAGGAUCGAUAGCAACAAUGCUUCCAUGAAUUAAUGCAAAAUUGUCAUUUAAUCCCAUGAGAAACUGCAUCAUCAUUUGAGUCUUGAUGUAGUCGUUAACCUUAAUCCCCUCUGCACAACCACAAGUUGACAAGCCACACAAGGCAUCCCUUUCAUCCCAAAGACCCUUCAACAUGUUAAAGAAGGCUGUGACCGUCUCGGUGCCUUGUUCACAACCAUGAAUUGCACUCUCAAUGUUAAAGAGUUGCACAGUAUUGGUUUGACAAAACUGUUCUUGGAGCUCAAGCCAAAUGUCUCGAGCCGUCUUGUAGUGUUUCACACUUCCAUAAAUUGCCUUCGACAUGGAACCAAUGAGCCAGGUUUUAACUAGCGUGUCACAUCGAUCCCACUGCUGCUGUUCGUUGUCUUGAAUAGUUGGUCUAGGGUUGCUGCCAUUCACGAGUCCAACCUUGUUUUUGAUGGUCAAGGCCAUCGUCAUAGAUUGACUCAGUUCCGAGUAAUUGUCUUCUACGAGUGACUGAGGUACGAGUAUUGCACCUAGCUGGUCAGAGUAGUGAAGGUAGAGUUGAUGGUUAGGGUAUUCUCAGGGUUCUGGUUUACAGACAGGGGCUGAAGUCGAAGCCUCUUUGAGGAGUGACUCCUUCAGAAGCUCAAGUUGUAGAGCAAGCUUAUGGUCCUGUUCGUUGUAGUACCCCGAAACUUAGCACAAAUUAUAUAGCACACUAAGGCUCAUUAACCUUAGAUGGUAAUCCAAAUAUCUUCUAAAAUAUUCAUUUUAGAAGCCAAUGACUCUAAGUAUCAUACUUACAAGAUAGGUAUUUUUAUUAAGUAUUAGAAUUUGAGUAAACUACUUAAAUAUCUUAACCUUUAUUUCUUACAUACAAUCGAUACUCGUGAUUGAAUUUAAGAUUCGUGUUAGUAUUGCUUUUAUCAUGCAUACUAUUCUAAUCUUAAAUAUUACUAACACAUUUACAAGAUCUUAAGAAAGGAAAACAUCAUAUUCUUUUACUUAUUAGCUUGAGUAGAUAUAUAUCUAUAUAUACAUAUAUAAAUAUUUGUGUAUCUAUAGAUUCAUGUCAAUACAUAUAUAAGGUAUACCUCAUAUAUAGAUUCAUGCACUAGCUGAUUUUUCUUUUACCCCUCUUACUAUUUUUGGUUUUCUUUGUGAACAAUCACCCUAACUAGCUAGACUAUCACUCAAAUUUAAUGUUUGGCCUUUUAAGUCAAAUAAAAUUGCUGGAAAUUAAUUUACAAUGCAUGCUUCAUGGCCUAUUUAUACUUGGGAGCUGCAACAUCUUUUCUUCACACUCCAACAUCAAACGUAAAGAUGAUCACUAACUCCCUUAGUUGAAUAGAAAAGCUCCCACACCAAAAUAUCCUAUCAUUCACUCUUUUUCUCUUGAGAAGUUCUCUCUUUGUCAAAGAAGUCCAACCUUGAGUCAAUACCCAAAUCCUCACUUCACUUCUGAAAAUUUAAGAGUAAGUACAUGGUUACAUUCCUAUACUCUUUUGUCUUUAAGAUUAUCAAAAUGCAUAACUAAGGAUAAAAUGGAAAAGAAUAUGUUUUCGACAAACUUAUAUUUUCGUAUAUAAUUAAAUAUCACUUUGUAAAACUUGAUCACAGUAUUAGAUUCUUCAUGAAAAAUGCUUCUGUUUAGGCUUUUGAAUCACUUAAAAAGGUUUAGAAACGAAGAAGUUAUGGCUAAUCAAACUUCCAAACUAAUAAACUUGCUGAAAAUCCCUUACAACUACCACAAGUUCAAAAUUUCAUAUCUCACUCAUUUCUUAACCAUUAUCUACAAAAUUUAUAUCAAAUUGAAGCUUAGGAUCUCUACUUUAAAUCUGGAAAGUAUCAGAAGCAAUGAUAAAAUAUAAAGUACGUAAAGACUUAGACAUCAAAGGUAAUAUAAAGGAUAUCAGCUAUCUGCACUGCUACUGGAAUGACUCUAUGACUUCGAACUGGAUUAUAUGACUUAUCUCAAUGGAUUACUUACGAAAAAUCCUUUGACAUGGACUCCUCACUUGCCUAAUUUGGACAUAAAUUGAAUGAGAUAUGAAAAUAAUAAGUUGACGGUUUUUUGGACAAGGAUUUCCCUCACUAUGGGAAAUGUGACUAUUAAUUCUUUGACUACUAACUAAUAUUUUCUGUUUAUUUAAUUUAAAGUACAUUUACUUUAUUCCACAUUUACUUUCAAGUUUAUUAAAUUGCUUAUCUUGUGCAUACCUUAAGUUAUUGACAAUUUUUAAAGUAUAUUGAUGUACGGUUAUAUACUUUGUUGGUCUUGAAGUAAAUUGUCGUACUUACUAAAGUUUGCUAUAUUUUAUUGACGUAAUUAUAUUUGGAGAUGUGAAGCCGGGUGAUUAGUACUACCCGUGCUUAAUGAAUUACUGGUAAAAGUGUUUUGUGAUUUGUGAUUUGUGGAGUUAACCUGGGCCCUAGUCCCUACAGAUAGUGCACUAUUAUACUCAUAGGAAGAAAGUGUCGACCUUGAGUAUACAUACUCUGGUAUUGUCCUUGGUACGCUGCGGCAUAUCCGUGUUUUGGUAUAGUGGACCUAGCACGUGAUCUUUAUGAUUUAUUACCAGUUUCCUAAAUAUUCACAUGGAUGAAUUUAUUCACGUUUGUAUAUGUGUGUGUGCAUAAAUAAGAAUCAGUAUGAACAAAUCAAAAUGAUUCUUAGUACAUUUUUACUUAGUUGUGUUUAUUUUUGGUUUCUUAUAAGACACAUUAUUAUAAGAAUGUAAGCUGUACUUACUGGGUCUGUGUUACUCAUGAUGUUACACAUUCUUGUUUUCAGGUAACGAAUAGAUGCUUAGGGAAUGGGAUGAACCUACUAAAUAAAAGAAUGUUUUCUAUUUCUAUUUUAAGAAUAAAUGUAAUGUCUUAUACACUCUUGCUAAAACUCUCGUAUUGUAAAAUAUUUGGUAUUGUAAAAUAUUAAUGUUUUCCCUUUCUAAUAAAAGUAUUAUUCAGACAUAUAUAUUUCUUCUUCUAAUAAAUUAUUCGAGAAAAUUUUAUUUGUUUUAACUCAUGCCGCAAAUUCGGGCACCAUAUUUCCAUAUAAUAUUGGUCUCGGUUUGGGGGAGUGACAUUCGUUUUCCCCCAUAUCGAUUGAAGUUUGCUAAGGUUUAGCAGAGGUUUGUGUUUGAGAAUUUAGGCCAAGGAUCGGCGCUUUGGUACCAUAAAGAAACUUGUAUUGAGAAGAAGCUAAAGUUCUUAUUUACUGUAUUCGAUAUACAUUGGUAUUUAUACAUACAAAACCCUUGUAGGGUUUGCUAACCCUUGAUGUACUAGGUAAGUAACUAAUUAAAAUCAAUCUAGGAUUCUAUCAUUAAAGAUAGUAUCAACUAACUGAUGCUAUGCGAUACAAUCGGAUCCUUUGCUUUAAUAGUUUCAAACUUAAAACUUGACAAUAGACAUAUUUUGAACCGAAUUAAUCGUGGAUUAAUCAUGGUCUCAUGGGCAAGAGCUUAAUGAUUCAUAAUAAUGGAUUCCACCAAGCAAAUGAAGGUUUUUGGUUGGCUUCGACCAUGCAAAGACUUAGAAUGAUACUGUCUAUCCUGCAAACAAGUGAAGUAUCUAUGCUCAAGGUUUUCAAGCAGAAGAAACUGGUGAUCUAGUUUGACAUCUGUUUUGCAAUGAUCUAAAACAUGUUUGGGUGCAAAACGUCCAAAAUAAUGAAUAUGUCAAAGGAUUCUACAUAUAUUGAUCAAUCAUGGUGGAGCAAUUUAAAUGUUCUGGAGUUUGUAAAGAAAAAAUAGUCUUCUCGUUGUUUAGCAAGAAGAGAGAACUUUUAUUUUCUUUCCAAGUCAAGAUGAUAUAAAAAUGAAUGAAUGUGUAUUUAGAAAAUAUAUAUGGUAGUAUCGGUAUAUUUUGAAUGAGGGUAGUCUAGAAAGUUUAAAGAUGUGUAUCUAGUUAAAUGUUAAUAUUAUAAAGUUAUUUGGUGGUGUAUCAAAAUCAUAUUUCAAUAUCUCUUUAAACCCAAUUCUCUUAAGGGAGAAAAAAAAAAUGAGAAGGAAAGUACCAAAAGUCCAAAACUGAUAGAAAAUAGAAAAUUAUUGCAUGGAAAAAGAAAAUAACAGAAAAUAAAACAAAGAAAAUGUAUUAAGAGAAGAAAGGAAAGCAGGAAUCGAACCACCAUGCCCUUGGUGGCAGAGAGGUUCAAAUCAAAAAGCACAACCAACUGAACUAACUUGGAUUUCAUUGCAUUAUGAACAAACAUAUAGAUUUUAUUAGAUGAUUCUUGUCUAGGCUGCAGCCUAUACAGCCUCCUUGGUAGAUCCGCCCCUAAAUCCAACAUCGAAACAACCUGGAAGGGCUUUGAAACAACAGAAGGGAGGACAAUGGGGAAGAACAAAGUCUCUAGAGUUUGUGUUACAGGUGGUUCUGGAUAUAUUGGUUGCUGGCUUGUCAAAACGCUCCUCGAGAAGGGGCACACAGUCCAUGCCACUCUCAGAAACUUAGGUUUGUCUCUGUGAAUGCUUAUUCGAUAUAUGAAUAUAUGGGCGCGCUUGUGUGUAUAUGUGCAACCCCUUCAUUUGUGUUUUUUUUUUACUCAAUGUUUCAGAGGAUGAAUCAAAGGUAGGCCUUCUGAAGUCUCUCCCCAAUGCAGACACUAAUUUGCUGCUGUUCGAUGCUGAUAUAUACAAUCCUAAUGACUUCAAGCCUGCUAUUGAGGGGUGUGAGUUUGUUUUUCAUCUUGCAACUCCUAUGCAACAUACUUCCCAAAGCUCCCAGGUCAGUUUUUUGAUGACGAAGUUACUGACAUCGAUGUAUUGGAAUUUGCGUACAUAGCUGACUGGUUUGGGAUGGAUUCUAUAUACAUAGUCAAAUUGUUUCCUGAUGUAGCGAAAUCUUGCUACUGAUUCUGAUGAUUUGAGUAUGCUGCAGUACAAGGACACAGCUGAAGCUGCUAUUGCUGGGGUGAGAAGCAUUGCAGAUUCUUGCAUUCAAUCGCAGACAGUUAAGCGACUGAUCUACACUGCAAGCAUACUUUCUAUGUCGCCAAGAAAUGAUGAUGGAGUUGGAUUCAGACCCUUACUUGAUGAGUCAUGUUGGACACCCCUUGAUGCCUCAUCUACUUAUGGAAAUGAGUUCACUUUGGUUCCUUUUCUAUCACUUGAAUCUUGAUUCCUUUAUUGACACACAUGAAUCGACUAUGCUCCAAUUUGAACUGCAAAUUCGUUUGUUGAAGGGGUAUAUUAAAUUAAAGACCUUAGCUGAGAAAGCAGUGCUGAGCUACAAUGACUUUGGUGAUAGUAAAUUAGAAGUGGUAACUCUUCCUUGUGGCUUAGUGGGAGGAGAAAGUCUUCUUUCAUAUUUGCCUUUAAGUGUGAGAGUAAUUCUGGCACAACUUACUGGGGACAUGUUUUCUUGCGAUGGCUUAAACUUAAUGCAAGAAUUUAUGGGAUCAGUUCCUCUGGUGCACAUUGAUGAUGUUUGCCGAGCACAUAUCUUCUGCAUGGAACAGCCAUCAAUGAAAGGCAGAUUCUGUUGUGCAGUUGCGUGUCACUCUAUCAAAGAAAUUGCAAUAUACUUCCAAGAAACUUACCCAGAAUACAAGAUACAUAAAGAGUAAGGGAUUCAACAUGGUUUUAGUACUCAUAAUUUAUGCAUGAAUAUUUCCAGUUUUCUUGGUUUUGUUGAAUUCAUUUCAGAUUGAUUGAAGGGCCUGAAGAAGGAAGCAAGAGUGAUUUCAGUAAGCUGAAGAAGAUGGGGUUUGAGUACAAGUAUGGCAUCAAGGAGAUACUAGAUGACAGUGUAGCAUGGGCAAAGAAGUUAAAUGGGAGCUCUUUUUCUCAAGCAGUCUAGUUCUGGUAUAACAAUUCAAUGAUCCGGUACCAUCAAAUUUGUCAUCAGAGAUGAAGUAAAAGGGCUGUUUGAUUCAGAAGGUAACUUGAUUAUUCUAAAUAUACAGUCUAUUUUCUAGCUAAGCAUUAUUCAUUGAAUAAAUUUCUACCUGGGUGUUUAUGAACAAAAUUGUUCUCACUACAGUGAGUGAUGAGUGAGGUGUGAUGUGAUCAGUACGUAGUGUCCUUGAGCUAUAUGAUGAGCACGUACAGUGCUAAUGAGUACGAUAAUGAGUAUCUUGAUGAACCUUUAGCUUGCUCAUUUAAUCGCAAAAUUAGGACGACCCUGAAAACAAGCUUAAUUUGCGGCCAUCUAUAUAUACGGGGCUCGUGAUCCAUCUCACUCAUUGUGUUAUGGUUUGUUGUUCAUAAACAACCAUAACACAUUUGAGUCCCCAUACUACUUAAGAGUCAAGAACAAGCUGUUACAGUUUUAAGUUCUGGUCUGAACACUAGAAAAUUAAAACAAGGAGGCUUUUAAGUUUUGACUUUCAUCGCAACUCUCAUACUUAAGAUGAAUGAAACUUCUAUUACAAAUAUUACAAAAAACUUUGAAGUCAACUAAAGCAACAACAGUAAACUUGAAGUACAAGGUAAUAACCAAACUAUGAAAAAGACAUCAACAGACUGCAGCUUAAGUGCUCCUUUAUUUUUGGAGAACGAAUAUAAUUAAAGAGUCAACCUUUAACAUUCUAGCAACAUUUGUACUACUGCAUCCAUUGUUGGUCUUUUAGACCUAUCUUCCUCCACACAAGAAAUGCCAAUCUCAACCAUCUUUGCUGCUUGGCUCCUGCUGUAUUCUCCAUCCAAUCUUGGAUCCAACAUAUCUUCUAUCAUUACUCUUCUCCACAUUGAAUUCUAUGUUUUGCUAUUCUGACAAACCUAGUCAGCUCUGUUUCUAUCUCUUCAUCCUCCUCUAUCACCCAAUUCGAGAGCCGAAUGCCCUUCACAAUCUCUAGAAUCAACACUCCAUAACUGUACACAUCAACUUUUGCAGUGAUUGGAAGGUUAGAAGACCACUCUGGAGCCAUAUAACCCUUUGUUCCUCUCAUUUGAGAGAUUUGAACCGCGACUGCCUCUCUGAGAUUACUUUGCGAGCCCAAAAUCAGCAAUCUUUGGCUCAAAAUUACUGUCUAGGAGUACAUUUUCAGGCUUCACAUCACAAUGUAUAACCCACUCUAGACACUCAUGAUGAAGAUAGGCCAAACCUUUAGCUGUUCCCAGUGCAACUUUAAACCUUUCUUUCCAUGCAAAAAAACUUGGGGGGGAACAAUUUCUUGUCCAACGAUCCAUUUUCAAUGUACUCGGUGAUCAGCAGCCUAUGUUUAUUUUCUGAACAGUAUCCCCAUGUUCGUACUAGAUUCAUGUGAUGGAUCUUCCCGAUUGUGGUUACUUCUGCCCAAAAAACAUCUUUUGCAAUCUGCAUGAUAAAUUUCUUCCAAUUUCUUGAUAGCUACAACUCUUGUCAUCUAGAACACCCUUAUACACUGUUCUAGAAGCCCCUCUUCCCAACUCUUCCUUGAAGUUUUGAGUUGCCUUCUUGAGCUUGGAAUAGAGAUUCAUUCUGAAAUGACUUGCAAUCCGACGAAAGUCAUCUUGCAAGGCGGGAGCUACAACCACAUAUCUUCGUAUAAGUAACCACCAACCUGAUACUAUGAAAAUAAACUCAACUGCAACAACUGCAUAAGCAAAAGAAUACAUAUACACCCAUCUCACCCUUUUAGUACCUAAUGUCACAAACUUGGUCUCAUUGUUUGUGCAUGUAUCAGUCACACUGAGCUUGGCAGGUAGUGUUGUAUUCAUACUAAGAAGUAGUUUGAAGUAUAUGCAGCCAUGGAAAUUCGAAGAUUUGUGCCCACUGAAAAGAGAACCUUUUGUGUAACACAAAGUUUUCGCUUCUCCUGCUCGCUGAUAAAUUGCUAGCUUAUAAAGAAAUGCUUCACAACGACAAUCGUCUGCGCAAAUCUUUUUGCAAUCUUCAAAUGUACUGGAGUCACUAUAGAUGAGAUCAAUCCCAUCGAAAUCCACAUUUUGAAAUCUCUAAAAAUUUUACCGGCUCUGAGCAUGUAAGGUGGAACUUAGGCUUGCAGCCCUCGUUCCAGUUAUUUUUAUUCAACACCUCAUAGGUCAUAGCCAGGAGGACAUGAACAUUUAGGCUCAGGUGUAUAAAUACAAAUCCCAUUUUUCCCACACAUCCCAUGAAGCAGACACUUCUGAAUGAUAGCUUGCCAAGUCACCAACCAAACCCCUUGUAAAUUAAGACUAUAGAGUCUCAAAUUCCCAUCAUAAUCUUUAGACAACCGCCUCUUCGGCCCCAAACCCAUGUCACCAGCACUAAACUGCAACUUAUCACUGGACACAAAAUUACCCAGAUCAUCAAAAAUAGCAAUUCUGCUAUUGUUAUAACCUGUUCUACCAUUCUGAUACGCAGUAAAACCAGGAGUUGGCCAGUAAAGACUUGAAAUGUCAGGACCAUCAUAGACGGCGAGCCUCAACACAUUGUCACUAUCAAAAUAGAAACUAAAAUAGCCACUACCAAAGUCACCCCUCUCUAGCUUAGAUACCAGCUUCAUGUCGUUGGCAAAAAGUUGGUUAGGGAGAAGAGUAUCAGUAGGAAAAUCAAAGCUUUGCCAUAGAAUUUCACCUAGUGGGCCCCUCAGAACAAGGUUGCCAGAAUUCAAAAGCUCGAUCCUUUCAGCAAGGUUGGCCGAACUGGAGCUGAGGGUGGGAGACCAGACUUGAGUGCCAUCCACGUCUGUCAAGAUUAUGGAGCCAUCUGGGGCCAGUGUGGCUUUGGAGCCCAAGCCAUUGACUGGUCUGUCUCUGUUGGCCAUCCAAACUACGGUUCUGUCCCUGGAGUGGGUGAACCAGAUGGAGAACCAGUAGCCAUUUGUGCCACCACCAUAGAAACCACAUGUGAAAGAGCUGUCCGGGGAAGUGAGCAAGUCUGAUACAUUAUGUUUCACUGAGAGAGAGGAGCCUCUGUGAAAUGACGUGGGUUUUUGCAGUGGCAGAAGAGUGCAAAAGCAGAGUGAUGAAACAGAAAAUAAGAAAAGAAAGGAACUUUGGUUGGUGAUGAGACCCCAUUUCUUGAAGUUAUCAAUUUUUGGUUGUGAUUGUUAAACAACACAGAGGGAGUAUAUAGAAGCCAAUCCCAAUGUUGAGGAUGUAGACUGAACUCACUGAAGAAGCUCUUCAAUUGCAGAAGACUCAUGAAUUCCAAGUCUUAACAUUUUUGCCCUGUUACUACUGACGUGAUGAUGCAGGCACUUAGGAGUUAAUACAGAAUUUGGAAAACAAAUUUUCCAGCUUUCUCGUUCAGUUUUUGUUCUUGGUGCAAAUGUGGCCUACUCUAAUCGCGACCGGCGACUAAAACCGCUACACCCAUUUUUUUCGAAAAUUCUAGAGCGCACCCGCCAUCUCCACCGUCGAUUUUGACGUGUGGACAAGUCUCUGUUAAGUCUCUGUUAGCAGGCAAGUGAGGGGGAGAGAGAAGCUUUGCAUCAAUCCCCAAAUCUGAACACCUCCUCUCCUAAAUCCACUGUAUCCAAAGCCUUUCCCUCUCUUCAACUUUUUCGAUCAUUUGGAACCGAUUCGCCGGACAAGACAUGGAGCCUGUGGUGAUCCACAAGGCCAAGCCGAUGCCACAAGACCAGAACACAAGAAGGCGAUCAAGUAGUCCGACGCCGGCCAGAACAAGAAAGCGGCUCCGCCGGUGAGCGUGUCUCGGCGAACGUGAGGCAUGCGAUUCAGGAGGCGUGGCUGGAGAAGAAGAUGGAGACUGGAGAGGGAGGUGAUUAGGUGAAGCUUAGGGGCAAACUCGAUAAAUAAGAUCUGGGUUUCAAACGGCUUCGUUUUUGGGGUAAUGGUUUCUGAGUAUAGGAACAAGAAUGAAGGAUGUAUAGGAACUUUGAUUUUGGAAUCAAUUGGAUGUAGUGUUGCGUAUUUAACCCGAUUAAUAUUUGAUUCUUCUCCUUUGGAAACAUGUGUAAUUAAAGUCUAAUAUUUGUGCAGGUAAUUUAAUAAAUGUUUAGCAAGAGAUUUUCUUCUAGAUUUAAAUAAUUUUUAAAACCUUUCAUAUUACCAAAAUUAGAAUAUAUAGCUCGAGUAUCCAAAAAAAUCUUCGAAAAUUUAUAUUAUACCACUAAGAUACAUUUUGUAUGUACGCAUAAAAUGUUUAAGAAAUUUAGUUCACACAGUGAAAUACAACUUUGAUACAAGAUAAACUUAUUUUCGUCAUUGUUUAGGUGACGUUCAACUCAGUCAACCAUAUUCAUUUGUAUACCUUCUUAAGGGCAGCCGUAUCAAGCGGAUGUGAAUAUCUUAAGUAGGCUCGAAACCAAUUGUAUAGAAAAAACAAAAUUUUUAAAAAUCUUUUGAAAUUGGAUUUAAUCGGUAUAUAGUGAAAUACGGUUAGAGUUGAAAACUCACAUAUUUCCUGUAACGAUUGGCUUUGAUAAAAGCGGUCAACCUUAUUAGGGAAGCAUAAGCGUAAAUAGGGUUGACUGCUUCUAUCGGGGACCAAAGGUUACCGGAAAUAUGUGAUUUUUCAACCCUAGUUGUAUUUCACCAUACAGAUCAUAUCCUAUUUCACAAGAUUUUUGAAAAUAUUGCUUCCUCCGUAUAGUUGGUUCACAAACAUAUAUACUUGCAUAUAACCUACUAAACAAGUUAUACCACAUUAAUAGGCACAUUGUGGUUCUAAUUGCUAAAUUUUACAAAAUAAAAAUUCAACCGUCAGAUAUGAACAGUGUGUUUAAAUACGGCUAUAGAAAAAAAUUCACCUGUUUUUAAUAAAGUUUGGCUCUCGAUCGACGCGGUCAACCUUAAACCAACGUCACUUACUAUAUGAAAACGGUUUUACCUGCCCCUAUAUGAUCUAGUUCGGUUGAUUCUUCCACACACAAAACUCUCAAAUUGAUGAUAUAUAUGUAACCACUCAUGUAAAAACUUAGAGACGUUCACCUCCCGACGAUAGGGUUCUCCAUAGGAAAGUAUAAGCGUAAAUAGGGUUGACCGCUUCUAUCGGAGACCAAACGUUACCGGAAAUAUGCGAUUUUUCAACCAUAGUUGUAUUUCACCAUACAAAUCACAUCCUAUUUCACAAGAUUUUUGAAAAUAUUGCUUCUUUCAUGUAGUUGGUUCACAAACAUGUACACUUGCAUAUAACCUAUUAAACAAGUUAUACCACAAUAAUAGGCACAUUAUGGUUCCAAUUGCUAAAUUUUACAAAAUAAAAAUUCAACCAUUUGAUAUGAUCAGCGUGCUUAAAUACGGCUAUAGAAAAAAAUUCACAUGUUUUCGAUAAAGUUCAGCUCUCGAUCGACGCGGUCAACUUUAAAACAACAUCACUUACCAUACGAAAACGCUUUUACCUGCCCCUAUAUGACCUAGUUUGGUUGAUUUUUUCACACAAAACUCUCAAAUUGAUGAUAUGUAACCACUUAUGUAAAAACUUAGGGACGUUCACCUCCCGACGAUAAGGUUCUCCAUAAAGAAGCAUAAGCGUAAAUAGGGUUGACCGCUUUUAUCGGAGACCAAACGUUACCGGAAAUAUGUGAUUUUUCAACCAUAGUUGUAUUUCACCAUACAAAUUAUAUUCUAUUUCACAAGAUUUUUGAAAAUAUUGCUUCCUCCGUGUAGUUGGUUCACAAAAAUGUACACUUGCAUAUAACAUACUAAACAAGUUAUAGCACAAUAAUAGGCACGUUGUGAUUCCAAUAGCUAAAUUUCACAAAAUAAAAAUUCAAUCGUCUGAUAUGAUCAGUGUACUUAAAUAUGGAUAUGGAAAAAAAAUCAUAUGUUUUCGAUAAUGUUUAACUCUCGAUCGACGCGGUCAACUUUAAACCAACGUCACUUAUUACACGAAAACGCUCUUACAUACCCCUAUAUGACCUAUUUUGGUUGAUUCUUCCACAUAUAGAACUCUCACAUUGAUGAUAUGUAACCACUCAUGUAAAAACUUAGGGACGUUUAUCUCCAGACGUAGGGCUCUCUAUAGGGAAACAUAAACGUAAAUAGGGUUCACCGCUUCUAACGAGGACCAAAAAUUACCGGAAAUACGUAAUUUUUCAACCAUAGCCUUAUUUAACUAUACCGAUCACAUCCUAUUUGACAAUAUUUUCCAAAAUUUUGCUUCCUCUGUAGAGUUGGUUCACAAUGAUGUACAAAUGUUUAUAACCUACUAAACAAGUUAUACCACAUUAGAAGACACGUUAUUCCGAUGGCUGAAAUCAAAUUUUCAAAAAUUUUGUGAAAUAAGAUGUGACCGGUAUAGUGAAAUAUAUCUAUAGUAUAUAAUUCAACUGGAUUCGGUAACGUUUAGGGAUCGAUAGAAGCGGUCAACUUUAAUUCAACGUCACUUAUCAUACGAAAACACUCUUACCUACCCUUCCGUGAUCUAGUUUGGUCGAUUCAUCCACACAUCAUAGUCUCACACAAAAGAGACGUAACCACCCAUGUAAAAAUUUAUGGACGUUCACCUUCCGAUGAUAGGACUCCUCAUAGAAAUGCAUAAGCGUAAAUAGAGUUGACCGUUUCUAUCGAGAACCAAAUGUUACCAAAAUUACAUGAUUUUUCUACUAUAGUCGUAUUUCACUAUACUAAUCAUAUUCUAUUUCACAAGAUUUUCCAAAAUUUUGCUUCAUCUGUAGAGUUGGUUCACAAUGAUGUACAAUUGCUUAUAACCUACUUAACAAGUUAUACCAUAUUAUUAGACACGUUGUUAUUCCGAUGACUAAUCAAUUUAAUUUUCACAUAUUUAUGACCUAGCUCGUAAAUAUUAUUUGGGAAAUUUGUAUAAAUUAUUAACCAUUUCUUUUGUGUUGAAUGAAUUAUUAAACAUUUUUGGAAAGAAGAAAAUACAAUUACACAUUAAUUGCAUAAUUAUAUGAAACAAUUGCAAUCUUGUUAGCCUGUUACACAAAAACGAAAAAAUGAGAAGAAAACCCUAAACCCCUAAACCAAAAAAAUAAAAAGAAUAAACCCGCUUAUUUUUAUUUGUUGUGAAUGGACAAACCCAGACCAUCUUCUCCAAAGAAAAAGAAGAACAAAACCAGAAUCCACAAUCGGGCAAGAUUUGAGGUGGAUAUUCGCUGAUCAAAAAUCAAAACACCCACUCGAUGGCGAGGCCUAUCUGCAAGGAAUUAAAGGAUCUGGUACGGAUGAAUUGCUUCAAGUCGGAGAGCUUGAGCUUCUUCGCUAUUUCCAAGAGAUCAACGUGGAUGGAUGCCGUAAUCGUUGAAGACGAAGGAGAAUCGGAAUGUUUGGAUGGGUCAAGUCGACUACAAUCGAUGAGGUCGGCGAAGAAUUAGGCCUGGGUUGGUGUUGGCCAGUUGCGGAGAAGGUCUCAGCAACAAGUAAGACGAGAGAGAGAAGAAACGACUAAAAACGAGGGCUACUCGAACUUAACUUCGCGUUGUUUGCUAAAGAGCGCUCGCCGAAUAGGCUCUCUAUUUUUUUGGGUCAAUCGAUCAUUUCAGAUUUUUGACGAUCAUUAUGAGCCAUUUUAUAUAUAACUGCAUUGUAGUCGUCUUUGCAUCAUUAUUGGAUACAUAAGUGUAAUAGAAAAUUUCUAGAACUACUCUAGUUUCUGGACGUUGAAGAUCGAUGAUUGCCAAACACAUUUUCAUAUCACAUUGAUUUUAUCAAGGGAAAAUGCCCAUUUAGUACUAAUUCAAACCCCUUAUUUCCCAUUCCAAUGAUAAUCUUUUACAUUAGCUCAUUCCAAUAUAAGGUAACAAUUUUUAUGCCCAAAUGCACAAAUCUUUACUAAAGUCUUAACAAACCAUAUUAUUUUAAGACUAUUUUGCCCCCACCUCUUCAACAUGAAAAGACUUGGCCGGAACCUCGGACUCCGGUCACCGGCCGCCGGACACCGGACUCCGGUCACCGACCGCCAGAUUCCGGUCACCGGAUUUUCCCCUGUAACCAGUUACUGACCCCCAAUAAUCAGUUACUGACCAGUUAAUGACCCAUAAUAACCAGUUACUAACCCCCGGUAACCAGUUAUUGAUUAAUUACUGACACCCAGUAACCAGUUACUGACCCCCAAUAACUUUUAGUUUUCAGUUACUGACACCCAGUAAUCACUUAGUUUUCAGUUACUGACACCCAGUAAUCACUUAGUUUUUAGUUACUGACCCCUAAUAAUCUUGGUUACUGACCCCUAAUAAUCGGUUACUGACCCCUAAUAAUCUUGGUUACUGACACCCAAUAACCAGUUACUGACCCCCAAUAACUUGGUUACUGACCCCCAAUAAUCAACUUAUUUCAGCUAAUUGUAAUAGAAAAGAAGAAAUACCAAAACAUAAUCGAGUUAUUGACCACCAAUAAUCAAUCAAAACUACAACACGAAUAAUCAAACUACCUAUCAGCUACAAAAAUACAACUACACCUACCGCAGAGCCACGCACCCUCACACAUCGGAUCUACUCUCUUACCAUGCACCUUCCUUCACCGUACACCUCCCUCAUCAAAACUGCUUCACCUCCAUCACCACACACCCGACGCCUUCGAUCUAACCAUGGAGGCGGAGGCGGAGGCUGCCUAUGAACCUGCUUGUUGGCCCAGUCGAGCAGGCGGGACAAGUACAGGCGGGACGUCCUCGACGUAGCCGGAGGGAGCUUCGCUACAUCGUCACCGGAGAUGACGACGAAGUUUGGCGAGCGGCACAACGUUUUGGAUCUGUUGCCGGGGUUGGAUGAGGGGGCUCGGAAAAGGAGGACGUUGACGAGCGGCGUUGAUUUCCGGCAGCGGUGAAGGAGGUUGCAGAGGAGAGAGCAGAGGUAGGAUUAGAGAUUUGAUACUCGUUGCUCGUCGUCGCAGCAUCGGCGCAUGUGUUGUUGAAGAAUAAGCUGCGUCGGCGGCGUCAUUGCGUCGUCCAGGAGAGAGAGAGAGAGAGAGAGAGAGAGAGAGAGAGAGAGAGAGAGAGAGAGAGAGAGAGAGAGAGAGAGAGAGAGAGAGAGAGAGAGAGAGAAGAGAGAGGAGAGAGAGAGAGAGAGAGAGAGAGAGAGAUUGGAUAGUAAAUGAUUGGUUGAUAUGAAAUAAGGGUAUACUUGUCUUUUUAAUAAGAAUCAUUGGAAUGGGUUAAGGGAAAAAAAAAUCAUUGGAAUAGGCUUUAGUUUUUAAAUAUUUGGGCAUUAGGGCAUUUUCCCUUAUAUCAAAUAUACUUCGGGAAUUUGAGUUUGAUUCGGAAUGAAUUUAUCCCCCAUCUUAACUGGGCCAAAGCCCAUUAUUUGGUUUAUCAAGAGGCCCAACUAAAUUCAAUCCAUUAGGAAAAUGUUAUUCUGACCCGGCUAAUUAGGUGAACGGUGUUAUUAGUAUGAUAUGCAAUUUGGUAGGAGGCAAUUUUGGUGCCUGAUCUUGCAGUUACGCCUCUCAUGGUUCAUGUUUAUAUAAGAUGGAAAGAUCUGUGUUUGCGUCAUCCCCUACAUGGUUUUUGUAGUUUCAGAAUUGAAAGUCUGAUAGUAAUUGCUCUUAGUUAUCAGAGCAAACUAGCUGGUUUCUCUUGUGAUCUUGGAUCGGAUGGUAUCAUGGUAGCAGGUCUUACAUUUCCACCUCUAUGAAAGCCCCCUCUGAUGGGGGGAUAUUAUUUCCCAGGACAUGUAAUCCCUGCUGCCAUUUUUAUCAAGGUCCAAUAUCACAUAACUACAUCUAGAGGAACAUAAACAUAUCAAAGUGGAAUACUGGCGUUUGUGGUAGGAGUCAUGUGUUUUAUCAAAGCAAUGGCGGAAUACAUCACAAAGGAUUUCACAAAUCAUGUUGAAGCCAUAAGCAAGUUUAAAGCUUCAAGAAAUGGUAGUAUGAACAACAGAGUCAUUGAUCGUUGGAUCGUUCUUGUAUAGGAGCACCCAAUCAAGAAGUUCAUACUCGACAUUUUUUUUUGUGUGUGUUCAACCUCAUAGUAGUACUUUCUUCGAUAAACAUUAUUCCAAAAGAGAUGUUAGCAAGGACAACUGCAAAGCCCAGCCAAAUUGCACUCCGGCAGCGAUGGAUGACACUAGUAUCAUCUUCAUCUUACUACUUACCGGCCUUGACGAGUUCAUGCUCUCAAUAUCCAUUUCUUUUUUCUCCAACUUUUCUUUUUUGAUGAGAUUGAUUUCUUUUGUGAAUACGAAAUGAGGAGACCAAGAGGUACCUUAUAUAGGCCUAUAACCGAUUUUUGAAGAUUCAAGUUUUGGUUGCGGUUCUUGAUAUAGAAGGCCAGUGCCAAAGUUGGGGAAGAAGACUGAAGAAGCUCUUCAAGUGCAGAAGACUCAUGAAUUCCAAGUCACUUUUGUCCUGCCAAGUGCUACUACCGAGUACGGCAAAGAAAUGGCGACAACAAGGAAAGGGAUAUCUAAGUUUCAUUUGUAUUUUGAAAACCUGAUGUGGAGAAAUUAUGUGUGGAAUGUGGGCACUUAAGACAGAAUUUGAAUAACCAAAUUUUCCAUCUUUCUCGUUCAAGACUAGAGCAAUUUCCUUGGGGGCACGGAAACUUUUUGUUCUUGGUGUAACGUGGCCAAACUCCAAUAUUUAUAUUUUGGUGUAAUGUGCUCAACUCCAAUAUCGACCGGCGACUAUUUCUGCUACACCCAUUUUCUUUUGGUCAAUCAUUUCAGAUUUUUGAAGAUCAUGCUUUUAAAAGAUAAUCCAAGUUUCUAAAUAAGUUCUUAGUUUUUAAACUGAUUAACUAUACACCCACCACACAGUCCACACUAGUGCUCUAGAAUGUUGCCUGUUCAGCCAAGAAAUGAAUUAGUUAACAUAGAGAAGAUCCUCUUUGUAAUGUUUUGCUGAGAGACUAGAGCCUCUUUGUAGACUCUUCUGGGUUUUUUGCAGAUGGACAAGAGUAGAAAAACACAGUGAGAAAUGAUAAGAUUGGGGAGAAAGGAAUGAAACUUUGGGAAUGAUGGAAUGGUGAUGAUAUGAUCGGUGAGGAGUGAGGAAAGACUCCUACUUUAGAAGACCCUAUUGACCGAAAAUAUUUCCAAAUCCAAUUUUUCCGGCUCUUUUCUUAUAUGUAUUUUAACUAUAAGUGUGGCGGCCUAUAUACUGGUCUACUCUGUGUCAUCUCACAAUUAUCUGAUGAAUGCCUUGAAACUUUGAAAGUGGGGCAUGUCGUUUGUAAACCUUAAGGGAGAAAGAUUGGAUACUAGCUAGUAUAUUGAUGCUUGUGAAGUUAUCAAUUACUUGCCGUUGACGAAUGCAAUUUAACAUCAACCACUUUUGUACAUAUUGUAUAGAUUUUAAUGAAUGUAUUAGUACUAAUAUGUGAGAAUGAAACUAGCUGAGCAAUCUUCAUGUUGAGUGGACUAAAUGCAUUACAUGCUGUGUGCGUGUAACAGAAAGAAACAAAAACAUUGCUACUCUGCUGAUUGGUUUCUAAACUAAACUGACACUGAAAAAGAAGAAGGGAGACAAAGGAGAAGAACAGAGUCUCUAGAGUUUGUGUUACAGGUGGUUCUGGAUAUAUUGGCUGUUGGCUUGUCAAAAAUCUCCUCGAGAAGGGUCACACAGUUCAUGGCUCCAUGCCACUCUCAGAAACUUAGGUUUCUCGCUCGUUUAAUUUGAAGGCUUAUUCUAUAUUUCUAUAUAUGAUUACAUAGGCACGCUUGUAUAUAUCUGUUAAUAUGUGCAACCCCCUUAUUUGUGGUUUAUUAAUUGUACUCGAUGUUUCAGAGGAUGGAUCAAAUUAAAGUAGGCCUUCUGAAGUCUCUUCCCAAUGCAGACACCAAUUUGCUGUUCAGGGCUGAUAUAUACAAUCCAAAUGAGUUCGAGCCUGCUAUUGAAGGGUGCGAAUUUGUUUUUCAUCUUGCAAGUCCUUUCCAACAUAUAUAACCCCCAAAGCUCCCAGGUCAGGUUCUCAAUUAGUACAAAGUCGUUGACAUCAUAUAUUAGAAUAUAUAGCUGAAAUAUUUUCUUAUUCGUGUAACAUAUUUUGGGAUGGAUGCUACACACACACACACACUGAAGAUUUGAGUAUGCUGCAGUACAAGACAACUGAAGCUGCUAUUGCUGGGGUGAGAAGCAAUGCUGAUUCUUGCAUUCGAUCGCAGACAGUUAAGUGACUGAUCUACACUGCAAGCAUACUUUCUAUGUCGCCAAGAAAUGAUGAUGGAGUUGGAUUCAGACCCUUACUUGAUGAGUCAUGUUGGACACCCCUUGAUGCCUCAUCUACUUAUGGAAAUGAGUUCACUUUGGUACCUUUUCUUUCACUUGAAUCUUGAUUCAUUUAUUGACACCCAUGAAUCGACUAUGCUCAAACUUUUAACUGGAAAUUUCCUUGUUAAAGGGGUACAUCAAAUCAAAGACCUUAGCUGAGAAAGUAGUGCUGAGCUACAAUGACUCUGAUGAUAGUAAAUUAGAAGUGGUAACUCUUCCUUGUGGCUUAGUGGGAGGAGAAACUCUACUUUCAUAUUUGCCAGGAAGUGUGGGUGCAAUUCUGGGAUUUCUGGCCCAACUUACUGGGGCCUUGCUUUCUUGCAAUGCCUUCAAAUUCUUGCAAGAAUUUAUGGGAUCAGUUCCUCUGGUGCACAUUGAUGAUGUUUGCCAAGCACAUAUCUUCUGCAUGUAACAGCCAUCAAUGAAAGGCAGAUUCUCUUGUGCAGUUGCGCGCCACUCUAUCAAAGAAAUUGCAAUAUACCUCCAAGAUAUUUACCCAGAAUACAUGAUACACGUACAAAAGGGAUCCAACAUAGUUUUAGUACUAAUAAUUUAUGCAUGAACUGUUUCCAAUUUUUUUUUUGUUGAAUCCAUUGCAGAUUGACUGAAGGGCCUGAAGAAGGAAGCAAAAGUGAUUUCAGUAAGCUGAAGAAGAUGGGGUUUGAGUACCAGUAUGGCAUCAAGGAGAUACUAGAUGACAGUGUAGCAUGGGAAAAGAAGUUAAAAAGAGCUCUUUUUCUCAAGCAGUUUAGCCCUGGUACUUGAACAAUUCAGCGAUCCAGUAUCAUCAAAUUUGUCAUCAGAGAUGAAGUAAUUUGACUGUUUGAUUCAAAGUUUAACAUGAUUAUUCUAAACAUAUAUACAGUGUAUUAUCUAUGAGUACUUCACUGAAUAAAGUUCUACCUUGAACCUAAUGGUUUGUUGUUCAUAAGCAAACGCAACACAUUUGAAUUCCGUACUACUUACGUGUGAAGAACAAGCAGUUACAGUCUUGAGUUCGGCUCUGAACACUGGAAAAUUAAAACAGGGAGGCCUUGAAGUUUUAACUUUAAGCAAUGGAAAUCAAAAACCGUCCACAACAACAAUGCACAACCACAGUUUGAGCCUCCCCGACUAACCCCAUUGAGGAAGGUCAUUACAAUUAAUUCAAAACUCAUCGCAAGAACAAGCAAUUCACAACAACGGAGCUAGGGAAAUAAAUUCAAAUUCCUAUACUACAACAUCUAAAACGUUGUUUUCAUUUGUACGAUCAUCAGGUUGAGGAGACGGAAGAUAAGUCAAGGCCAAUAUUCCACUUAUAACAGCAGCAACGGCUCCCAACACAAACGCCGGUAAGUUACCACCUCCGAAAGCAGCAUCCAACGGUCCGCUUACUAGAGAUACAAACAUUUGUGGUAGUGCAAUUGCAACAUUCAAAACUCCCAACGAAAGCCCUUGUCCUCCGCCGGAGUCGCUGCAAAAUAUGGAGGCCAUGGUGAAGGGAAUGCUGAAGGUCACCGCUUGCGGUAUCCCCAACACCGCGAAUAUAAGCAACGCCCCGGCCUUGACACCGGCAGGGGGCGGCAGCGAUGCAUGUCGAUGCUUCUGAGCCAACUUAGUGACCAAUACGGUCAUGACCAGGCAAAUGGCUAGUAGAAAGUUGACGACUCCCCAAAGUAGAUUAGCCCCAUCUCUGCGAACCAAGUAGACAAUCCCAAGAGACAUGAGUCCCAACACGAUGGAGUUUAGCAUGAGCCCUAGUGAACCAGCCCUAACUCCCAUAUCAUACAGAUGUCCUUUCCCGACCUCACCUCCGUACACCUCUUUCCCCAUCCAAUCUGUGUCGAAUAGUAAGAAUCCGAACCAUGCAAUCCAGUUCAAGCAAGUGACCAAAAGCAAGAUCCACAUCGGCUUCUUCAACUCUUUAAAAGCACCCUUGAUUUCUCUCAAGAACGCGACUCCUCCUCCCUCGCCUGCUUUCUCUUCUUCACGAUGAUCCUCCAUUGUGUCCUCACGUACGAACACCAUAGCCAACACGGUAAGUAAUGCAAGUAAAGCAAUGGCUAUGAAAAAACAGCUCUUGAGAUUUGCACAGUAGAUAUCACAGGCUUUGGUUACGGUGAAAGGGAACAUCUUGUGGAGACUUUUUAACGAUCCGGCAGCGUAGCCAAGCACGUUUCCCACAGCCAUGAAGAAUGAGAACCAUGCCAUGGCUGUGCUCAUCUUCUUAUUGUCGGAACCGGACAUGUCGGCUAAAAGAGCUCGACAUGGGCCUUGUAACAUGUUGUUAGCCACGUCCAACAUCCAGAACCCGACCACAAACACAGCGACGGCUCUUGGCUUUGUAAGUUUGUCCAAGGAAUCGCCGCAAGCAACGCCUAUAUCGGCGGCGUAUCCAAUGAGGAAGACGGCGAUGGCAACGAGCGCAACACCUGCCACUAUGAAUGGUCGGCGGCGACCGAAGCGAGAUUUGCAACGGUCGCUAUAGUAACCCACGAUGGGUUGCACCACCAAACCAGAAAUGGGCCCGCACAGCCAGACGGCGGAGGACCAUUUGUGUGGGACCCCCAGUUGCUGCACGUAGGGUGUUAGCAAGGACAACUGCAACGCCCAGCCAAAUUGCACUCCGGCAGCGAUGGAUGACACCAGAAUCAUCUUCAUCUUACUACUUACCGGCCUUGACGAGUUCAUGCUCUCAAUAUCCAUUUCUUUUUUCUCCAGCUUUUCUUUUUUGAUGAGAUUGAUUUCUUUUGUGAAUACGAAAUGAGGAGACCAAGAGGUGCCUUAUAUAGGCCUAUAACCUAUGAACGGGAAGUUAAAUCAUGACUGGAAAUGGAAACAGGGAGCAAAAUGGAGUUAAGUUUUAGGAAUUUUGAGUAGUAGAAGUCCUAGUAGGAAAAGGAAACCGGGACUUCCAUAGUUAAUAAGGAUUGCUUAGUUUUUUUUUUUUUAGAGUAAGAAUUGCUUAGUUUUAGGUACUCUGAAUAGUAAAAAUCCUAGUAGGAAAAGAAAACAUGGAUUAAAUGGGAGUCCUUAACUAUUCGAACUUGGGUAAUUGAUCCAUUUUUAAUUUCUGCUACAUACUUUGAUUUGCACACCAAAAAGGUAAUGGAUAACAGAUUUUGUUCACGAGGAUUAGAACCGAAGUUAUUUUACAUACGGAUUAAGAAUAACGAUUCUCUUUGACACGUUUCUGGUAUUUUCAUGAACAUUUUCUUAAUCUAGUAAUAUAACCAAACUAAUUAAGAAAAAGACAUCUACAGUCUGCAGCUUAAGUGCUCCUUUAUUUUUGGAGAACGAAUAUAAAGAGUCACCUUUAACAUUCUAUCAACAUUUGUACUACUACAUCCAUUGUUGGUCUUUUAGACCUAUCUUCCUCCACACAAGAAAUGCCGAUCUCAACCAUCUUUGCUGCUUGGCUCCUGCUGUAUUCACCAUCCAAUCUUGAAUCUAACAUGUCCUCUAUCCAUGACUCUUCUCCACAUUGAAUACCACGUUUUGCUACCCUGACAAACCUAGUCAGCUCUGUUUCUAUCUCCUCAUCGUCCUCCAUCACCCAAUUCGAGAGCCGAAUGCCCUUAACAAUCUCUAGAAUCAUCACUCCAUAACUGUACACAUCAACCUUUGCAGUGAUCGGAAGGUUAGAAGCCCACUCUGGAGCCAUGUACCCUUUUGUUCCUCUCAUUUGAGAGAACUGUGAAUCGCGACCGCCUCUCUGCGAUAACUUUGAAAGCCCAAAAUCUGCUAUCUUUGGCUCAAAGUCACUGCCUAAGAGUACAUUUUCUGGCUUCACAUCACAAUGGAUAACCCACUCUAGACACUCAUGGUGGAGAUAGGCCAAGCCUUUAGCUAUCCCCAUUGCAACUUUAAACCUCUCUUUCCAUGCAAGAAAACUUGGAGGGAACAAAUGCUUGUCCAAAGAUCCAUUUUCGAUGUACUCAGUGAUCAGGAGCCUAUGUUUAUUUUCUGAACAAUAUCCCCACGUCCUCACUAGAUUCAUGCGAUGGAUUUUUCCGAUUGUGGUUACUUCUGCCCAAAACACAUCCUCUGCAUGAUAAAUAUCUCCCAAUUUCUUGACAGAUACAACUCUUUUGUCUUCUAGAACACCCUUAUACACUGUUCCAGAAGCCCCUCUUCCCACCUCUUCCUUGAAGUUUUGAGUGCCUUCUUGAGCUCGGAAUAGAGGUACAUUCUGAAAUGACUUGAAAUCCGACGAAAGUCAUCUUGCAAGGUGGAAGCUACAUUAUCAUGUCUUUGGAAAAGUAACCACCAACCUGAUACUAUGAAAAAAAAUUCAACUGCACCAACUGCAUAAGCAAAAGAAUACAGAUACACCCAUCUCACCUUUUUGGUAGCUUUGUCAUACAUUGAACGUACAUGCUUGGUCUCAAUGGUCAUGCAUGGUUCAGUCACACUGAGCUUGGCAGGUACUGAUGUAUUCAUACUACGAGGUAGUUUGAAGCAUAAGCUGCCUUGGAAAUUCGGAGACUUGUGCCCACUGAAAAGAGAACGUUUUGUGAAGCACAAAGUUUUCGCUUCUCCUGCUGGCUGAGAACUUGCUAGCUUAUAUUGAAAUGCUUCCACAACGACAAUCGUCUGCGCAGAGUUUGCUGCAAUUUUCCCAUGUAUUGGAGUCACUGAAGUUGAGAUCAAAUCCAUAGUACUCCACAUUUGGAAUCUCUAAAAUUUCACCGGCUCUGAGCAUGUAAGGUUGAACUUAGGCUUGCAACCCUUGUUCCAGUUAUUUUUAUCCACCACCUCAUAGGCAGGAGGACAUGAACAUUUAGGCUCUGGUGUAUAAGCGCAAAUUCCAUUCCUCCCACAAAUUCCAUGCACAUUACAUCUCUGAAUGAUAGCUUGCCAAGUCACCACCCAAGACCCUUGUAAUUUAAGACUAUAGAGUCUCAAGUUCCCAUCAUAAUCUAUGGACAACCGCCUCUUCAGCCCCAAACCCAUGUCACUAGCACUAAACUGCAACUCAUCACUGGACACAAAAUAACCCAGAUCAUCAAAAAUAGCAAUUCUGCUACAGUUAUAAUCUGUUCUACCAUUCUGAUACACAUUAAAACCAGGAGUUGGCCAGUAAAGACUUGAAAUGUCAGGACCAUCAUAGACGAGCCUCAACACAUUGUCACUAUCAAAAUAGAGACUAAAAUAGCCACUACCAAAGUUACCCCUCCCUAGCUUAGACACCAACUUCUUGCCCUUGGUAAAAAGUUGGUUAGGGAGAAGAGUAUCAGUAGGAAAGUUAAAGCUUUGCCACAGAAUUUCACCUUUUGGUCCCUUCAGAAUAAGGUUGCCAUGAUUGGAAAGCUCUGCCUUUUCAACACGGUUGGCAGAACUAGAGUUGAUGGUGGGAGACCAGACUUGUGUUCCAUCCACGUCUGUCAAGACCAUGGAGCCACCUCGGGUCAGUGUGGCUCUAGAGCCCAAGCCAUUGACUGGUCUGUCUCUGUUGGCCAUCCAAACUACGGUUCUGUCCUUGGAGUGGGUGAACCAGAUGGAGAACCAGUAGGCAUUUGUGCCAACACCAUAGAAGCCACAUGUGAAAGUGUUGUCUGGGGAGGUCAGCAAGUCUGAUACAUCAUUUUGCACUGAGAGAGAAGAGCCUCUCUUUAAUGUGUUGUGGGUUUUUGCAGUUGCAGAAGAGUAGAAAAACAGAGUGAUGAAACAGAAAAUAAGAAAAGAAGGGAGCUUUGUGGUUGAAACAGCUUGGUGAUGAUACCCCAUUUUCGAAGAUUCAAGUUUUGGUUGCGGUUCUAGAACAACACAGAGGGAGUAUAUAUAGAAGGCCAGUGCCAAUGUUGGGGAAGAUGACUGAAGACUCAAAGCAAGUCCACCCCAAGAUGAAAAAAAGUCAAAGGAAGACCCAGCAAGAAAAAAAAGUCAUCUCCACCCAUAAAUUUUUUUUAACCCAGGUGUUCAUUCCCAUGACAACUCAGCUCAAGCAAGGGGCCCACCGGUGCAAAGAAUGUCGUGAAGACUCAGCGGCGUGGUUAUCACGUUUUUGUCCACAUAUGUCUGAAGCAAAUUACAUCAAUUGGCAAAGUAAUCCAACGGCUUGUAUAUUACUAGUACGUCAAGAGUAUCUAACGACUUGUAUAAUUACUGUUAGUUGUUACUAUUUUAAUAGUCAAUUUUAAUAGUCAAGAGUAUUAAUUGGAAAGAAAUUAAUGAGAAGAAUUAAAAGAGGAAGAAAAGAGUACACGGGUCAGGAAAAAAGAUAAUAAAAAUGUAUGAAGUAAAUACCUAUUAUAUCUUACAGAAAAUAAUUUCAUAGUUUCCAUAUCCGUGAUUUAUUUCAUUAUGUUUGUAUGUUUUCAAUUAGAACAUUUCAAGUCAUUUUCUUUUAUUUUUACUUGGCUUUUUCUGGCAUUUAAUGUUAUGGAAUAAAAGUUUUAAUUUCAGGAUCAUAUUGUAUACAUAAUUAUUAUUUAUUAACACAUAAUAUAAUUAUCCACACUUAAAUACAUAAUAUAAAAUUUAAUAACAGUCAUUGUCACGUGGCGACCCAGAAACUAAAAUCGUAGGUGAAAACUACAAUCUAAUUUUAUUACCACAUGACAACCCAUGUUACACCCAUGACUCAGGUCUUCCUAACGAAUACCCAACAAAUGGACUUGCUCUCAUGAAUUCCAAGUCUUUAACACUUUUGUCCUACCGAGUGCUACUACCAAGUACCGCAAAGAAAUGGUGACAACAAGGAAAGGGGUUUCUACGUUUCAUUUGUAUUUUGAAAACCUGAUGUGGAGAAAUUAUGUGCGGAAUAUGGGCCCGACAGAGUUGAAUUGGAUUAACCAAAUUUUCCAGCUUUCUCGUUCAAGACUAGAGCAAUAUUUUUGAGGGCACGUAAACUUUUUGUUCUUGGUGUAAUGUGGCCAAACUCCCAUAUUUAUAUUUUGGUGUAAUGUGCCCAACUCCAAUAUCGACCGGCGACUAUUUCUGCUACACCCAUUUUCUUCUGGUCAAUCAUUUCAGAUUUUUGAAGAUCAUUAUGAGGCAUUUAAAAGAUAAUCUAAGUUUCUAAAUAAGUUCUUAGUUUUUAAACUGAUUAACAGUAAAACCACCACACAGUCCACACUAGUGCUCUAGAAUGUCGCCUUUUUAGCCAAGAAAGAGCAGAUCCUCUUUGUAAUGUUUUGCUGAGAGACUAGAGCCUCUUUGUAGACUGUUCUGGGUUUUUGCAGAUGGACAAGAGUAGAAAAAACACAAUGAGAAAUUAUAAGAUUGGGGAGAAAAGUAUGAAACUUUGGGAAUGAAAUGGAAUGGUGAUGAUAUGAUCGGGGAAGAGUGAGGAAAUACUCCUACUUUAGAAGACCCUAUUGACCGAAAAUAUUUCCAAAUCCAAUUUUUCCGGCCCUUUUCUUAUAUGUAUUUUAACUAGUGUGGCGGCCUAUAUACUAUAGUCUAUACUGGUCUAUACUGUGUCAUCUCACAAUUAUCUGAUGAAUGCCUUGACAGUAUGGCAUGUCGUUUGUAAACCUUAAGGGAGAAAGAAUAUUGUAUUAGUACUAAUUAUGUGAGAAUGAAACUAGCUGAGCAAUCAUUUUCAAAUUCAUGUUGAGUGGACUAAAUGCAUUGCUACUUUGCUGAUUGGUUUCUAAACUAAAUUGAUACUGAAAAAGAAGAAGGGAGAACAAUGGAGAAGAACAAAGUCUCUAGAGUUUGUGUUACAGGUGGUUCUGGAUAUAUUGGGGCUGUUGGCUUGUCAAAAAGCUCCUCGAGAAGGGUCACACAGUUCAUGCCACUCUCAGAAACUUAGGUUUCUCUCUCGUUUAAUUUGAAGGCUUAUUCUAUAUUUCUAUAUAUGAUUUUAUAGGCACGCUUGUGUGUGUGUGUGUGUAUAUCUGUUAAUAUGUGCAACCCCCUUAUUUGUGGUUUAUUGUACUCAAUGUUUCAGAGGAUGCAUCAAAUUAAAGUAGGCCUUCUGAAGUCUCUUCCCAAUGGAAACACCAAUUUGUUGCUGUUCAGGGCUGAAUGGCUGAUAUAUACAAUCCUAAUGAGUUCGAGCCGGCUAUUGAAGGGUGCGAAUUUGUUUUUCAUCUUGCAACUCCUUUGCAACAUAACCCCCAAAGCUCCCAGGUCAGAUUCUCAAUUAGUACAAAGUCGUUGACAUCAUAUAUUCAUAUAUUAUAAUAUAUAGCUGAAAUAUUUUCUUAUUCGUGUAAUAUAUUUUGGGAUGGAUGGUACACACACACACUGAAGAUUUGAGUAUGCUGCAGUACAAGGACACAACUGAAGCUGCUAUUGCUGGGUGAAAAGCAUUGCUGAUUCUUGCAUUCGAUCGCAGACAGUUAAGCGACUGAUCUACACUGCAAGCAUAUUUUCUAUGUCGCCAAGAAAUGAUGAUGGAGUUGGACUCAGACCCUUACUUGAUGAGUCAUGUUGGACACCCCUUGAUGCCUCAUCUACUUAUGGCAGUGCCCCUUGGUACCUUUUCUUCCUCUUGAAUGCUGAUUCAUUUAUUGUUGGUACAAGAAUUGUUGGCUAUCUUUUAUGAUCAAAACACAAGGAUACAUGCUACAUGUUGUACCCUGGUAACAAGGACUGCUCAAGUGAAGAAUGAAAAACCUGACAGAUCUCAUGUGCAUCAGGUAGUUCAUGCAUGUGCAUCACUUUCAUUCACUAAGGAUGGCAACCGUGUUUGCCAUCCCGAUUAGACGGAUACCUCUGUUGUAUCUAUUCUAUUUACUGGGUCUGACCAUGUGUAUAUUCAAAUGUAUUUACUUUAGUUUUUAAGUGUUUGAAUUUCAAAUGCCUUUUAGCAAAACAUUAGUCUAUUCAUAAUUGAGCUCCAAGUUAGUCUAAGGUGGUGUGGCAAACCAACCCGUGACCACAUAACUUGAGCCUUUGGUAACAGCUGGGUUUUGUAAUACACAAACCAAGUCAGCAGCUGCCCAUGUGAUGCACCGCCCAAACUAUCAGCUGUCCUAAGUGUCCUCUUAGAUAAAGUGGUUUUGUAGAGUCUUUAUGCUUGACUAAAUCUGAUCUAGUUUUCCCAAAACCAUUUGUCUUAUUCUUUUGGCUUGAUUCCUUCCUAGGAAAGUCUAUUCUCAACUUUUGUCUUGUGAGUGGAGGGAUCUCUAGGGUCUUAUUUGUCCUAGUAUUUUAGACAAGCAACUAGAGUCCAAAAGAACCUUGCUGAUGUGGCAAACGUGCUUGCUUCCUCAUAACUGUGCACUCUGCCUAUAAAUAGAGAGCAAGACCUCUCUUGCUCUUUGGUUGUUGAAAAUAGUCUUGUUUGUUUUCUUCCAUUGAGUCUAGCAUUUUGCUAACUGCUCAUAUAUCUCUAAGUCUUCCAUGUGAUUGUCAAUCUUAGAGCUAAGCACCAAAACCUUUUCAACUCAUAUCAUUGUGCUUUUGCAUACCUUGAGAUAUGUCUAGGUGAAGCAAUAACCUCGACGAAGCUGUCUUUGAGAAUUAGCUAAAGGUGUUAGUUGAAUUCUGCAUAUAAGCUUAGAUUUGUGCUAUGUGUAAAACACUUGAGUGACAAGAGAGCAAGUUUAGUUGAGUGCUCGUAGUUAUACUAGGUAGUAUGGCUAGGUGUUGUGUCAUCCUCUAAGUUGUGAGUCUUGUAAGAAGUGUCUUUACAAUAGUGGAAUAGUUUCUCUCAAGAGUUAGAGGCACAUAGUUUUUCUCCUUGGUUGCAGGGUUUCUGCGUAUAAAAAACGUACUGGUGUUAUGUUUUUUACUUUCAGUACUUGCCUUUUCAUUUACACAACUUAGUCUCACAGCAAACAGGAUAGCACAAUCUUUGCUAUCUUUGUGUGCGGGAUAAAGCAAAAAAGUUGUCAGGGCCUAUUCACCCCCCUCUAGGACCUUCAUUUAUUGACACGCAUGAAUCACCUAUGCUCAAACUUUUAACUGGAAAUUUCUUUGUUAAAGGGGUACAUCAAAUCAAAGAACUUAGCUGAGAAAGUAGCGCUGAGCUACAAUUUUUUUUUAUUUUUGAUGAUACGAUGACUUUGAUGAUAGGAAAUUAGAAGUGGUAACUCUUCCUUGUGGCUUAGUGGGAGGAGAAACUCUACUUUCAUAUUUGCCAGGAAGUGUGGGUGUAAUUCUGGCACAACUUACUCGGGACUUGUUUUCUUGCAAUGCCUUAAAAUUCAUGCAAG
rnacentral:lncRNA from 1 species